GAGCCAGGGCUCGGAGCGAGCGAGGGACGACAGAAGGGACGGGCAGGUGGGGGCGCGGGGCGCGCAGCCCGACGGCUGGAGUAGCAGGCGCUCGGUGCAUGGGCCAGUGAGGACGCGCAGAGGUCUCCUCGCCGCUGCGGAGGCGGAGUAGCGCGGGAGCCAGGCGCUGCUCGGCGACCCUGCGUCCGAGCAAGCGGAACCUCGCGCUUUGCCCGGGGACGGUCCGAAGUCCGCGCUAUGGAAGAGGAGAAAUAUUUGCCUGAGCUGAUGGCAGAGAAAGAUAGCCUGGAUCCAUCCUUUGUGCACGCAUCGCGCCUUUUGGCUGAAGAAAUUGAAAAAUUUCAAGGAUCUGAUGGAAAAAAGGAUGAUGAAGAAAAGAAAUAUCUUGAUGUCAUCAGCAACAAAAACAUAAAACUGUCAGAAAGAGUGUUGAUUCCUGUCAAGCAAUAUCCAAAGUUCAAUUUUGUGGGGAAAUUGCUUGGACCAAGAGGAAACUCCUUGAAGAGGCUACAGGAAGAAACAGGUGCUAAAAUGUCUAUCCUGGGCAAAGGAUCAAUGAGAGAUAAAGCAAAGGAAGAAGAACUAAGGAAGAGUGGGGAAGCCAAAUAUGCCCACUUGAGUGAUGAACUUCAUGUAUUAAUUGAAGUGUUUGCACCACCUGGGGAAGCUUACUCACGUAUGAGUCACGCGUUGGAAGAGAUUAAAAAAUUCCUGGUUCCUGACUACAAUGAUGAAAUUCGUCAGGAACAACUACGUGAAUUAUCUUACUUAAAUGGCUCUGAGGACUCUGGUCGUGGGAGAGGUAUUAGAGGCAGAGGAAUCAGAAUAGCUUCCACGACUCCCUCAAGGGGCCGUGGGGGUGCCAUUCCUCCUCCCCCACCACCUGGUCGAGGUGUUCUCACCCCUCGCGGGACCACUGUAACUCGUGGAGCUCUUCCAGUGCCCCCAGUAGCGAGAGGUGUCCCUACCCCUCGAGCCCGGGGGACCCCAACAGUGCCAGGAUACAGGGCACCCCCUCCUCCAUCCCAUGAGGCUUAUGAAGAAUAUGGGUACGAUGACGGUUAUGGGGGUGAAUAUGAUGACCAGACCUAUGAGGCUUAUGAUAACAGCUAUGGGACCCAAACACAAAGUGUGCCUGAAUACUAUGACUACGGUCACGGAGUAACUGAGGAUGCCUAUGACAGCUAUGCACCAGAAGAAUGGGCCACCACCCGCCCCAGCUUGAAGGCUCCACCUCCAAGGUCAGCCAGAGGGGGAUACAGGGAACACCCCUACGGUAGAUAUUGAAGGUCCUCCUCAACUGUGACCUCACCUCAAAGACAAUUCAUAGCCUGUGGUCUUCACACAAACAGCAACAAGACAAGUACCCAUGAGUAAAGAACACAUUGAAUACCAGAUGUGAUUGGCUAAGAAACCUGGAGGGCUGGCUGGCGCCGUGGCUCAAUGGGCUAAUCCUCCAACUGCAGCGCUGGCAUCCCAUAUGGGUGCUGGUUCUAGUCCUGGUUCCUCCUUUUCCAGUCCAGCUUUCUGCUGUGGCCUGGGAGUGCAGUGGAGGAUGGCCCAGGUGCUUGGGCCCUGCACCCGCAUGGGAGACCAGGAGAAGCACCUGGCUCCUGGCUUUGGAUCAGCGCGGCGCACCAGCCGCAGCGCACCCGCCGCAGCGGCCAUUGAGGGAUGAACCAACGGACACUAAAAAGAAGAUGAACAUGAAAACAAGAAAUGAAAUGUAUUUGGAAAGAAAAGGAAUAUAGCAAGACUACUGGUGGUGCAAGAAGUACUGGGAUGAAAUAGGUCACAACAUGAAAAGCCAAAGGUAGACCACCAAUUGAUCCUUAAAAAGAUACAAUGUCCUGAGAAUUUUAAAAACUCUAUAGAUUUCUAUUGUGUAACAUCACAAAAUGCAACUUCAGAACUUUAAAAUAUGGUUUUCUUUCACAGCAAAUACAGAGCAUUGUACUACUAAUAGUAAUACAUAUGCAACUUCUGUGUCUAUCUCAGCACAAUUAAACUCAGACCACAGCAUUUUCUCUGCACUUAUACUAGCAAAAUUUUCUUUUUCUUUUAAUCACUUUGGAAAUUUUCUGGGUCCAGUGUUGAAUAAAGAACAAAAUUUUGCACUAGCUUCCCACAGGUAUGUUAAUUCAAAUUUGGGCUUUUAAAAGAGAUAACUAAAAAAAAAAAAACAGUUACAUAUAUGAAUCCCAAGAUACUUUGUUUACUUUUAUCACACUGCUUUAUAAUCAUAUCAUUCUUUGAGAGAUACAUUUCUUCACCUUAUAAUUCCUGUAAGUGUGGCAUAUUAUAUAUUAUAAGCUAUAAUAAACUGUUAGAAGAAUUAAAAGUUCUCUAUGAGACUUUAUUGUAUAUUUGCUAUAUUCAGGUUAUUAGAAAAUAUCUAACAGACUAUCAAAGAUUGAUUAGUGGUAAGUAAAAUUUGUUUUAAGUUGAUUUGAUCCCUCAGACAUAGGAAAGGACCAUUAAGUAAUUCUCUUGGUAUUUAACUCUAAGGUAUUUAGAUAUUUAUAAAUGUUUCACUGAUUCUACAUAUCUAUCAUCACUAAUUCUACCAUUUCGAUCUGUCACUCAAAUACAUGCUUUAGAUCCAAAAAUGACACUGUGAUUACAUAAAAUAGGCUCAAAGAGAGUGGUUUCAUCCACAAUUCAAAGCUGAACAAUAGUAAGUGGAUGCCAAACAGUCUGCUAAGCUAAAUACAUUGCUGGUUGUCACUUCAGGAAAAAUAGCAUCAAGUGCAGCACCUUGGCUUAAUGAUGACCAAGGAUUUUGGGAAAGGACAGACUCUAUUGGUCUAACAGCAGAAAAUGGAGACCUCUUGGGAAAAGUUUACUGGGGCCAGAGAUGUGGCACAGCAGAUUAAGACACCACUUACAACACCAGCACAUCAGAGACUCCAUUCACGUCCCAGCUCCCUGCUAACAUGCCUGGGAAAGCAGCUGAAGAUGGUCCAGAUGCUUGAGUCCUUGACACACAAAUGGGAGACCAGCAUGGAGUUCCUGACUCCUGGCUUCGGCUUGGACCAGCCAUGACCACUGUGGCUAUUUGGAAAGUGAACCAGUAGAUGGAAGAUUCUUUGUGUGUGUGUUUGUGUGUGUGUAUGUGUGUGUUGUGUGUGUGUGUGUGUCUUCUUUUCUCUCACUGUUCUGCUCUUUUAAACCAAUAAAUAAAUGAGUUUUAAAAUAAUUAAGGUUUUUUUGAUGCACAAAAUUUUGAGACCCAUUAUGCUCUUUAAGACAAUUAACUUCCUCAUUUCUGUCAGUGAUACUAUCCAGUGGUGAACGAAUGAACAAUUAAGGUCAAAUGAAACAUAGGGGCCAGUGCUGUGGCGUAGUAGGUUAACCCUCUGCCUACAGCACUGGCAUCCCAUUUGGGUGCUGGUUUGAGUCCUGGCUGCUCCAUUUCCAAUCCAGCUCCCUGCUCACAGCCUGGGAGAGCAGUGGAAGAUGGUCCAAGUGAUGGAGCCCCUGCACCCAUGUGGGAGACCUGGAAGAAGCUCCUGCCUCCAGGCCAUGGAGCUGUUGCAGCCCAUAAGGAGAGAACCAGCAGAUGGAAGAUCUCUCUCUCUCUAUCUCCCUCUCUGUAACUCUGCCUCUCAAAUAAUAAAAUAAAUAAAUCUUUAAAAAAAAAAGUUCAUGAAAGGGAAACUCUUCAUGUGCUGUAAUUAUUAAACAUACUUUAAUAAAGCACAUUCCAAACAAAAGUAUGUGUUUUUUUUCUUUCUAAAUGUAAACAUUUACUCAAAUCCUUAAUCAUGGAUAUUUAUUUAUUUAUUUUCAAAUUUUAAAAAUUUCUUUAAUUUAUUUCAAAGACAGAGUUACAGAGAGAGGGAGAGACAGAGAGAGAGAGAGUGAGGUCUUCCACCCUCUGAUUCACUCCCCAAAUGGUAUAAUAGCUAGAUCUGAACCCAGGAGCCAGGAGCUUCUUCUGGUUUCCCACAUGGGUACAGGGGCCCAAGUACUUUGGAUCAUCUUCCACUGCUUUCCUAGGUACAUUAGCAGAGAGCUGGAUCGGAAGUGGAGCAGCCAGAACACAAACCGGCACCCACAUGGGAUGCCGAUGUUACAGGCAGUGGCUUUUAUCUGCCAUGCUACAAUCUAUCACGGAAUACAAGCUGGCAUAACUUUGGUCAUUUUUUUUAAAUACAUAUAUUAGUCCUGUUAAUACUUAAGUUCUGUAUAUAUAUUAAAAAACUUUUUUAAAAAAAGCAACUUUAUGCUAAUUGGAUAAUUGAAACUCUUAAAUGCCCUGCAUGUUUUAAAGUCUGAUUUUUGAUUUGUUCUGCAAAAAUUAGAAAACUUCAAAACAACUUCCUAAUUUUAAACCAAGAACUCUGCUUUUGAGAAAACAUCCCAGAAGAUUUGUGUCUAAAUUAAACAGAUCAAUGGUUGAUUUUAACUUAAUUUACUAAACAAUUUCACAUAGCAGUCUAGAGAUUUUGAGCUUCUUUCAUAAGAGUGUAGUCAUCUGGAAGGAUUCUGCUAUUUGGUCCAAUUUCUCUCUGUCUAAUGUUAUUACUAAAGAACAUUGCAGAAACCUAGAAAUUCCUAUUUGUCACAAACCUACUGUUGAAGCAAUUCACAGCAAAUUAAAACAUAUUUUACUGUUUUACAAUUAACUUGCUGUAUUACAUUGUGUGGAAAACAUCAUAACACUUUUUUCAACAUAAAACUAGCAUAUCUGAGAGUCUUAGAUUUAUUCAAUUUCCAGGUCCUGAAUUUUUACUCCUGUGGUUAGGUAGCUCCAUUCUGCUAUAAACUUCAAGGUCUAGUGUGCUCAAGACCUCAUAGAUUUCUGUUUCUAUUGUCUGAUCUCUGCUGAGGUCAGAGAAAGCACGUGUAUUAUGAAGAGGUGACACUUAAUUUUAAUUAAGGUUCUAAAAACACAGUCUAAAUAAAGAAUGACAGUGUCCAUAGCAACAAUAAGAUUAACAUGCUACACAGUGUUUCUACUGUAUAAAUUUACUUAAAAAGAUAAAUUACUUUUAAUGAUGCCUGGAAAAUAUCUAAUUUGAAAUUGUUUCCUUCUCUUUUGAGGCCGAAUUUGUUCUUAGAAAUGUGAAGAUAUGAGAAGACUUCAAAAAGUUCAUGAAAAUGGAAUGAAGAUAAGCUUACUUUGGUGCAAAAUACUUUUGAAAUCUAUGCAUGUUUUUUAUAAGUAUUUUCCAUGAAUUUUUAAAGAUCCCAUAUAUAUUAUAAUGAGACUUAUCUAAUAUUAUCUAAGAAGACUUCAGUGUCUAGCAGUAAAAGUUUAUUUUUUCAAAAUAAUCCUAAUGAUGAUAUUAAUGCACUCAGUUGCAUUCAGUUUUACAGACUUACAAAGUAGCAUGUGCCAUCAAGUUCUCAAUUAUUUGUUACUUACUAGUUGACUUUUGGGGCAGGCAUUUAGAUUGGAGGUCGAGACGCCUGCUCCCACAUCAGAGUAUCUGAUUCGAUUCUGGGCUCCAGUUCCUGAUUCUAGAUCCUGGGAGGCAGAGAUGACAGCUCAAGUAGUUGGGCUCCUUCCACCUAAGUGGGAGGAGUGACUGUAUUCCCAGUUACUGACUUUGACCCUGCCUAGUCCCAGCUUUUUCUGAGCAGGUAGGGAGUGAACCAGAAAAUGGGAGCUCCCUUUCUAUCAAUUUCUCUUUCAAAAUUUUUUUUUGAAAUUAAAAGUUUAACUUAAUCAUAAUAUAGAUAACAUCAAAAUAUAUUAUGCAACUUACCACAUUAUUAUCUACAUAUAUUUAUUUUAUAUAUUUGUAAGUGUAAUUAUGUUUACAAAUAGCAAAACAAAAUUUGAGGACCAGGCAAAAUCUGUUACUUGGUUAGUGACUAUAUAUUAUGAUGGAAUUAAAUUUCAAAAUCGAAUUAUUAGGGUGAAAAAUAAUCUAUGAAUAAUUUUUAUGAUUAAAAAUUAAAGCAAUGGGACCAGUGUCAUGGUGUAACAGGUUAAGAUGAUGCAUGAAAUGCAGGCAUCCCAUAUGGGCACCAGUUUGAGUCCUGGCUGCUCUGUUGCUGUGGAUUUGUUCCGAAAGGAGGAGUGCAAUGGAGGCAAGAGACGCAGAGUCACCACCCAGACACCAGGAGUCGGGUGAAAGCAGGUCAGAGGUGAGCAGCCUGCAGACUCAUUUAUUUCAGUUGGUACAGCAGCUUAAAUAGUCAAGGCAGCCAAUCUAGUCAAGGGGCGAUUUAUGCCCUAACCAAUCACAGCCUGUUGCCAGGCAGGCUCUGUUGCCAGGUGGGUUUCGAAGCCAUGCCUGAGUAACUGACACUUAUUUGCCAGUGGCCAUCUUGGCAUGACCUUCUCAUUCCACCACACUGCUCCACUUCCAACCCAGCUCUCUCCUAAUAUGCUGGGAAAGCAAUGGAGACGGCCCAACUGCUUGGGGCCCUGAACCCAUGUGGGAGCCCCAGAAGAACCUCCUGGCCCCUGGCUUUGACCUGGCUCAGGUCUGGUAGUUACAGCCAUUUGGGAGUGAACCAGCAGAUGGGAGAUAUCUCUCUCUCUCUCAACUCUACCUCUCAAAUAAAUAAAUAAACCUUUAAAACAAAAAACAAAAAUUAAGCAUUUUAUAUAGAAUAUUGAUUUAUAAUAUCUUUAAUUCCAGGUAUAGAUAUUCUGAUUUUACCAGAACUUAAGAAUAUGAAUAUUACUUUACUUCAGAUUUUGAUGGAACAUUAUUUAUAUAAAUUUUCUGUUUCUUUCCACAGCUUAUAUUUAGCCAGCCUCAAAUUUUAUUUAUUAGUCAUAUUUGGAGGUUUUUUUCUUCUACUUUAGCACAGCAAAUUUUAAAAUAAAAAAAGAAAGGAGGAGAGAGGAUGGAAACUGAUCAUCUAUCCAAAAUAGAACACAUACAAAAUCAGCCAACAAAUUGUCAACUGUCUCUUCCACUUUGAUUUUGUGGACUAUGUAAGCAUUACUUACAAGUGAUGCAAUUCCUCUUAUAUUUAAAAAUAUACCCUUAUAUUUGCAUUAAUAGAAAAAUGUUAAAGUAUUAAAUAUUUCUCAAUUCUGGUUAUAUUUAACAAGAAAUUUAUUUCAUAUAAACAUAAUAACACCCAAGUUUAUUCCCAGUAGUCUAUUUCCUAAGUGUUUUCUUCUACUUUAAUUUUUUUAAAGAUUUAUUUUAUUAGGCCAGUGCCACAGCUCACUAGGCUAAUCCUCCGCCUACAGCGCAGGCACCCCAGGGUUCUAGUCCCGGUUGGGGCACUGGAUUCUGUCCCAAUUGCUCCUCUUCCAGUCCAGCUCUCUGCUGUGGCCCGGGAAGGCAGUGGAGGAUGGCCCAAGUGCUUGGGUCCCUGCACCCGCAUGGGAGACCAGGAGGAGGCACCUGGCUCCUGGAUUUGAAUCAGUGCAGGUGCCGGCCGUAGCAGCCAUUUGGGGGGUGAACCAAUGGAGGGAAGACCUUUCUCUCUCUCCCUCUCUCUCUCUCUCUCUCUCUCUCUCUCUCUCUCUCUCUUUUGUGUAAAUAAAUAUAUUUAUAACUUUAUUCAAUACCACAGUUUCCACCCAGCAUUUUUUAUUCAUAUUUAAUGCUACAUAGUGAUUUAAACAAUUUAAUUAAGUUUAUAGCAGAUUUCUGAGUCUCACCACAAUUAACCACAAUUAUUUUGUUGUGUAUGAAAUACAGAGAACUCAAUAAAGCUGUUCUUCUCCAUAGCGCUAGGGUUGUGCUGUUGCCCUCACCCUACUGAUGACAUUGAACCAUUCUUUUGGAUAGACCAAACCAUAGCAUACAGGAGUGUCUGAUAGUCACUUGCCUGUUUGCUAAUUCAAGUGAGCUACCCAGAAAGGAAGUAAACAGAACACAGAAAUUAGAGAGCAGCAUCAAGUCCAGGAUAGGGCCUCCUUUUAUGACACAUUCCAAAAACUUCCUUCCAUAGCAGAUCAGCACUCAGGUGUAAUAUAAACUAUCAGCUAACUAGGAAUACAAACAGGUUUUUACUUUCUUCAGUUAGAGUAAAACUCUUCAUAGUUUAUUCCAUUUGAAGACACAAUAUUUUCGUGUUUUAGUAAUACAAGGAGAAAAACACUUUACAGGUAGCAGCGAGCUCUUCAGAAGGCAUUGUCACACUAGGGUGGAAGAAACCAGAGGUGUUAUGUUCAAACUCAUCUAAUAUGCACAAAAAAUGUGAUGAAAAAAAUGAAAACCACAACGAACAGACAAAUGAUAUGGAUGAAGAAGUUGAACAUAAAAUAUUAACUGCCAAGUGGAAUAUUACAUUUUAGAAUACUUGAUAUAAUUUUUAAAUAAAAGUCUAUUUUGUUUUAAAAGUACAAUUAAGAAAAACAAGUAUUUCCAUUGGAUCUUCAUUCAUCAAUAUUGUAUGUAAUUGUUUACAUAUGUAAACAGUGUGAAGUAUUUGGAAAAUAUUUUUGUAUUACGUAUUCUGAAAAUAGUUGACAUAUUUAAUGAUGCAAAAAUUGAUUUUCAUGAAAUAUUUAACAUGUCACACAUUAGUGCCUGUCAAAAAAAAAAAGAUUUCUUUUAUUUGAAAGUCAGAGUUACACAGAGAGAGGAGAGGCAGAGAGAGAGACAGAGAGAGGUCUUGCAUCCAUUAAUUCACUCCCCAGUUGGCCCCAACAGCCGGAGCUGCGCCAAUCCGAAGCCAGGAGCCAGGAGCUUCUUCUAGGUCUCCCACAUGGGUGCUGGGGCCCAAGAACUAUGGCCAUCCUCCACUGCCUUCCCAGGCCAUAGCAGAGAGCUUGAUCAGAAGUGGAGCAGCUGGGUCUCAAACUGGCACCCAUAUGGGAUGCCGGCGCUUCAGGCCAGGGCGUUAACCUUCUGUGCCUCAGCGCUGUCAUAUUUUAAUUUUUUUAAAAGAUUUAUUUAUUUGAAUGUCAGAGUCACAGAGAGGCAGAGGUAGAGGCAGGAGAGGGAGAGAUGUCUUUCAUAUAUUGGUUCACUUCCCAAAUGGCCCCAAUCCAAAGACAGGAGCCUAGAGCUUCUUCCAGGUCUCCCAUUGCUUUCCCAGGCCAUAGCAGAGAGAUGGAUCGGAAGUGAAGCUGCCAGGACUCAAACAGGUGACCAUAUAGGAUACUGGCACUGCAGGUGGUAGCUUUACCCGCUAUGCCACAGUGCCAGCCCACUACUUAAAUUUUGGCAUAUAAAAAUUGAAUAUAAAAUAACAGGCAACAUACUACAUUGAAUUUUAAAGAUUUACUACUUAAUUCCUUUUCAAUUUACCUAUGAAAUUUCUAUCUAUUAUAUUCAAAUUUUUAUGUCUCCUGUUACUGGCUCAGUAGUAGUAAUUCUAUUUCUAAUUAAAAUUUUUAAGGAUUUUUUAAUUAUUUGGGAGGCAGAGUGACAGAGACACAGAUCUUCCAUCUGCUGGUUCACCGCUCAGAUGGCUGCAAAGGCCAGAGCUGAAUCAGAUGAAACAAACAUCCAAGCUGGAUCAGAAGCAGAGCAGCUGGGACUCAAACCAGCACUCUGAUAUGGAAUGCCAGCAUCCUGCAUGGUACUUUAACCCACUCAGCCACAAUGCCUGCCCCGUGAAUUAGAAUUAUUAGCUAACAAAUGUAGAAUUAGAAAAAGCAUAUCCAGAGAGGUUAAAAUAAACUUUUCUUAAUAUGAAACAGUGACAUAUUUAAAAAUUAUAAUAAAAACCAGGGGGCUGGCACUGUGGUACAGCAGGUAAAGCCACUGUCUGUAGUGCCAGCAUCCCAUAUGGACACCAGUUGGAGUCCUGGCUGCCCCACUUCUGAUCUAGCUCUCUGCUAUGGCCUGGGAAAGCCAUAGAAGAUGGCCCAAGUCCUUGGGCCCCUGCACCCAUGUGGGAGACCUGGAAGAAGCUCCUGGCUCCUGGCUUUGGAUUGGCGCAGCUUCAGCUGUUGCAGCCAUCUGGAGAGUGAACCAGCAGAUGGAAGAUAUCUCUCUCUCUCUCUCUGCCUCUGCCUCUCUGUAAUUCUGCCUUUCAAAUAAAAUAAAUGCAUCUUAAAAAAAUCAAUUUGUUAGUUAAAUAUUUCUUGAUGUACUCUUAAAACAUUGAGCUCCCUUUAUUUAUUACAAACAAUGAAACUGUUGUACAAAACUAAUCAAAUCCCCGUCGAUUCAACUACAUACGUUUUAAAAGUUUUUAAGAUAUGCAAAAUGACGUAAAAAAUGAAAGACUCAUUACCUUAGAAUCAAAAGUAGUUGAUUAUAAACUUUACCCAACCAAGUAGAAGAUAAUUGUCAUUUUGCUAUUGUAUUCUUAGUGGAACAUUGUCAAGAACAUUUGACAUUUCUUAAAUUCUCAAAUUCGCAUCUCAUUUGUCUUUCUUUAUGAAAUUCAUAUUGAUAUGUUAAAUUCCAGAAAGGGAAGAAGAGGAUGGCCACAGUUCUAUUAAAAUACGUGUAUUUAUAAAUGACUUGCAUGGUAUGAAAGGAUCCUUAAUUUUCAAAAGAAAACAUGUUCUGUUUUCCUCAUAUCUUUUACUUUCUCUACUGUCUAAUGAUACCCAACUAAUUUAGGAUCCUAAGGAAUAUAAUUAAAUAAUUUCCCCACUGUUGGAGAAUCAGGGCUCUUAUAUUAGAAUGGGAAACAGCAGAUGAAUAUAAAGCUGCUAAAUUCAAAUAAUUUCAAAAGUCAGAAAUCAUUUUUUUCGCAAAUUUAAAGUGGCAAUCUUUUGAUUAGAAUAUGUUUUCAAUGAUUUUAUAAAAAUUCUACCGAAAGGAAGGGUAUUGAAUUAACAUUUUCAGCCAACUAUGCUUUAAAAGGCUAUGUUUUAUAGAAGAAAAGUGGGAGUAUCAAUAGGUGUGGUGUUACAAAUUUAAAACACUGAGCCUUUCUGGCAUAAUAAAACAAGCUUUCCUUCACCCCUGAGUUGCUCUUACCUAGUCAACCCUAUUAUGAUUUUCCAUUUCAGAGUGAAAGCCUCAAGUUGCAUAGAUCAUUUCAUUGCAAAUGUUAGAUUGUCCUUUAAUUCAUACAGACAAUAGAUCUUCUGAAUAGAGAUGCAUGCUCUGUAUUCCCUAGCUGAUAGCGUUAGAUUCUACAAGAAUCAUGGGAAUUUUUAAUAAUAGUUGAGGUUCCAUUAAACUUAGUUCUCAAAUGACUUAGAGUUUAUUCAUCAAAUAAUUCAGAGUAUAAAAGUAGCACAUAAACAUUAAUUGAACAGCCAUUAAGCAGUAUGACUGUUUGGUUUUGGUUGAUAGAGGACAUAAAGCUUUGUACCCUGUGGUGAAAAACAAUUAGGCCUUAUGAUGCACAUGUCAUUAAAUAUUAUACUACCACACUUAGACCAGUUUCACUUUACAAAUCAGCAGUCAGCUGUAGUCAGAAGCUUGCCCAAGUCAUAGGAAGUCAUAUUUUUAUUGCCAUGUCUUAUCUGCUUAUAAAUGUUGUCAUGUGCCUUAUGCUAAUGGCAAUGACUAAUGGUUGUCUUUAUAACUUCAUUCAAUCUCAUAAAAAAGCUUCCUCAGGAGAUACCAAUCAUAACUAGAGUGCUGCUUAAACUAUUUUUCUGAAACAAAAUAGAAAAAGCAAUUACCUACAAAAAGUUGAAUAGAUAACUUAUUUUGUUCAGAAAAUAUCUGACAACUUCUAUUGUUGAAUUUGCCAUGAGGCAAAUUGAUAUCCCAAAUAAGAAUGCCUACUAGGUGCCUAUAUGUAUGAUGAUCUAACCCUUUAAAGUUGUUCUGCUCAUCUGCACCUAGGUGAAGAUGUACGAUAGAAAAACAAGUUGGAAUAAAUUUGAACGUGGUUGUCUGGAAGCUCAAUGUUUCUAACAAUGGAGGUCAAGAAGAGAAUUUGGAUUUGAUCAAUACUGAAAAAGAAGUUAAUUGAACCAGAAAAUUAAAAAUGAUUUCCUAGAAGGGAUGAGAUUUCAAUCAAUGUCAGAUAUGGACAAAGCUCCCUGGUAGUGCACCUGGGAAGGCAGCAGAGAACUGCUGGGCCCCUGGACCCAUGUCGAAGACCUGGAUGAAUCUCAUGGCACCUGGCUUCCACCUGACCCAGCUCCAGCCAGUGCGGCCAUUCAGGGAGUGAACCAGCAGAUGGAAUAUCUACCUUUCUCUCUCUCUCUUCUUUUCUCUCUCACUCUACCUUUAAAAUAAAUAAAUCUUUUAAAAAAUAAAAGCUUUGGUACCAUGCAUAGAUGUGUGUAGGAUUUGGAUAGUAAGGGAGGAAGUGGGAGGCAUCAUACAGUGCCUAGUUAUGGACUUGUAAAACAUUUUGAGUGUGAAACAGCUUUGAUAAUCAAGACAGGCACUUAACUGGUAUCAGGGAAGCAGCAGGUAAGAUCAAGAAGACGGAGCUGGAGCAGAAACUGUUCUAUCAGUAUGGGAUGCUUGCAAGCUCAAGUGCUACCUGGAGAAGUCCUGGUUGCUCACCUCCAUUGAUUGCUUGUGGUUAGUUGAUGUGACAUGCUACCUUAAAGGAGCUGUCGGUGAACUCUUGAGUCCAUGCAUCUUGUAAUAGAUGCAUGGAAUUCAUAACGAGAUCAAGCCUCAAGACUUCCACAUUGCUAAGUGGAAACAGCAGUAAUCAUAUUGGCUGCAAAAUAACCUAGGGAACUGAAGUCUUGAGAACGUCUAGUUUAAGGAAUAUAUCUACUCGUCCACUAAUGAGUGGCUGGCUGUUGAGCCUCCCUCUCAAGGAGCUGAUUGCCUCACUCCAGACAAGCCUGAUUAGCAUCAGGGUAAAACAUACCUAAAUAAAUAAUCCCAUAAUUCUUGAUAAGCAAUGAUUGAACAGGGACAUGUCUGACAUAGUUUAAUUCACAGUGGUAUACACAAAAAAACCUGCCAAUAAAAUGAAUUAACAUGUUAAGGAUGUUUAAGUGUGGAUCAUCACGUCGAAUGGUGCAAUUGUCAUCUCUAGCACAGUAGUCACUGGUAUUCAGUCAGUGGUGUGCUGGGGCUGGCACACACAAGCUCAUGAAAUCUGAAUCUCAACUAGGUGAGAACUUCAGUGAGUCUGUUUAUACCAUGGAAUUUGGGCAAUGUGAGAAGCAGAGCUUAUUGCUUUUCCUUUUUCAGAGAGCCAGUGAGCCAGUUUACCAGCACACCACUGAGUUACAUGCACAUUCUAGAGAAAAGGACGCAAUAUAAUUGUAUGCCACAAUAAUUAGGGAUGUCUCAGGCUGAGUAAAUAUUUGAAGAAUACAGUGCUUAAGAAACAAUGUAUUUUGUUAGACUGUCAAGGCUGAAAUCUGUUAUAAGCUAUCAGUUAAUGGAAGGUAACUAUGCCUUCGCCGCUCAUCCUCACAAUGAGAAUGCAAUACUACUACCCCACAGUUUUGUUUUGAUGACUAACGGAAUUAGUAUAAGUGAUACACUUUAAAAAGUGCCUGAAGUGCUGAAGGUGUUACCUUAAACAUAUCCUAUUUAUAUCAACGGGAUAUGAGACUAUACAACUUCUUACAGUCUUCUAAAAGACUUUGCCUAAUUUCAGUGUUAUUUUCCUUUUUGAGCUUUUAUAUCUUUUAGAAGCCCAUAUUCGACCUCCACAGGUUUUCUAAAGAUUUGUUAAGUGAAAGCACAUCAAAUCACUUUGAAAUGGAUAAAACACUAUGUAAAUGAAAGGUGGAAUAAUUAUGUUAAAGGCAUCAUCUUGAAUUGUCUUUAUACUGCAUCUUUGAAAUGAGCAUCGGAUUUUUCUCUAGGCAGUUACUGCUUCUACAGAAACAAACACAGAUGGUGACCAAACUUCCUAGUGAAUAGUUUUAGGCAACAUCAUUUAUCAAAAUACCACAGGUCACUAAAUGCACAGACUCAAAACAAGCCCACCUCUCAGUGUCAGGCUAGCAUGGUAAUUUAGGCAAAUAACCCUCUGUUUGAUAGUUCAAGUGUUUUCUGAUAUGUAAAAUGCAUUGGCACAACAAACAGAAAGUCUUACAUGUAACUAAGGUUUAUAAAAUAGGAUAUUAAGAUUGUAGUUUUGUAGAGAAAAAAAGAGUCAGUUUGUUUUCUUUGGUGAGCAUUUCUAGCCAAAUUUCAAACUAAUAUUGUUGGUUUUAAGUGUAGAUGUCCCUAUUACCUAUUGACCUUCCCUCCAAAGUAAAGAAAUGGGGACACAUGUCUUAAAGAUACUUUUUAGACCUACUAAGAACCCAGUCUUCAGGGUGCAAACUUCCUUGGUUCAGUGAGAGAGUCCUGUGGUUUCUAGAACUUAGCCUCUCCUAAUUGAGUUUUGUCCUUGUUCUGAGCCCCUUUGCCCUUGAACCCAUUUCUUGCCCUUCCUAGCUCAGCGAAAGGAGAGGAAUCCCUGAGGCUUCCUCCCCAGAGCUGUUCCAGCUGGCGAGUAGCUGGCUUCUGCGCCCAGGGAUUCAGGGCUGGAGACACUGGCAGGUAAUUGAAGACAGAAGAAAGCAGAAGACAGGGCCGUUCUCUCAACGCUGUCUUUGCCUCCUGCACCUUCUUUGGCAGCCCCUAUGUCUUCCCUGUACCACAACCCACUCACUCCUGCCACAGUGUAGCUCCUACCCGGAAACCAAGGCUCCUAUCUAGAAGUCACAUCCCCUUGUCCUGUGUCUUUUCAGCCUGGAGUUAUGGCCUGCUCCUGUUAUGGAUUUCUGAGCUGUCACACCUUUCUCUGGUUGGUCUCCUUUCUUUCCUCAACUGUUUGCUGCUUUACCAAUUGUCUGUUUUAUAAUUCUCCCAUUUAAAUACUUCAGCUGAAUUCUGUUUUCCUUAUUGGGCCCUUAUUGAGCCAAGCUCUGACACAGGCCUCCUCCUCAUAAUGAAUUCUUGGCAAAGCAACAUUGUUGGAAGCUUAGCUCUUCACUACUCAUGGUAAUUACCUUAGAAAUCCUUCGAGAGCAUGCAACCGCUGUUCUCUUCGCAGCGCUUCCUUGUAGUUAAAUGAUGAUUCUACCUUGAGCGUUCUCUGUGCCGUGGCCUUGAGAUAGAAGCAGAGAGAAAGUAUUUUUAUUUCUGCUAACAAUGAGUAUUUUUAAAGACAUUCAACCAGUACCCGUUAUUAUUAACCCACAUGGUACCUCUUCUUCAGGCCCCAUUCCUCACAUACUUUGCAGGGAGUUCAUUCACAGCUAGUCAGUCUAUCAAAUAUCGGAGCCCUGCUUCCUAUGUAACAAACGUCUCCAAGAACUAGUUCCCAUAUGCAAGUGACAGGAAUGAAACACAGAUAUGUUAUCUGCAACCACUCUAAAAAACUCUUCCUUCUUGUUUUCUUUCAAAGAAGGAUAUUUGUGUCCACAAAACAACUUCCUAUCUAUCUUAAAAAUUUAACCGAGCUUCAAAAUGCAAGGGGUCUUCAAAAAGUUCAGGAAAAAUGUAUAUUAUGAAGACUAUUCAUGGGUUUCAAAAAAUUUUACACAAAAAUAUUUGUCUUUUAAUUCUAUUUUCCAUGAAAUUUUGAAGUACAUACAUACACACACACACACACACACACUUUAUAUCCUGAAUCCAAAUGUAUGGGGCUGUCAUUGUGGUGCAACAACUUAAGCCACCACUAGCAUCCUAUUCCAGAGUGCUGGCUUGGGUCUUGGCUGAUCUGCUUCUGGCUCAGCUCUCUAAUAUGCUGGGAAAGGCACCGCAAAAUGGCCCAAGUACUUGGGCCCCUGGGCCCCUGUCUCCAAUGUGGGAGGCCAGCAUGGACUUCCUGACUCCUGGCUUCAGCUUGGCCCAGCCCAUGCUGCCACAAUCAUUUGGAAAGUGAACCAACAGACGGAAGAUCCCCCCCCCUCUCUCUGCCACUAUUCCUUUCAAAUAAAAUAAAUAUUCUUUUAAAAAAUGUUGGCACUAGAUUUAUACAUCCCAUGGGUUUUUUAAACCUGUUUUGGAUUUUGCAUACUGACACAUACAUUUCUACGUUUAAAAAUAUAAUAUUUUUAAAGGUUUUCCAUAAGUUUUUUCAAACAUCCCAUCCUAUUGUAUGGCUCCCUCCUCCUGAAAUGAUGUGCUUUUUCUUUUAUGUUUUUCAUUGUGUUAUGAAUUCUCAGCCAAAAAAAAAAAAAAAAACCCACAUCUUUCAAGGAGCGCUUCCUCAAUUCUCCCACUCAGUCUGGGCUUGUUCACGCUCUCACAGUGCAUGAUAUGAAAUGAUACAUUUAUAUUUCUCUGUUUCACAUUGGACUCUAAACUCCUUAAUGAAAGUGCUAUAUUUCAUCUCUGUACUCCUAGUGCCUAGUAAUUUACUUGGAAUUUAGGAAUGCUUAUAAGUGUGUGAGUGUGUGUGUGUGUGUGUGUGUGUGUGUGUAGAGAGAGGGAGAAACUUUCUGAACAACAAAACAUUCCGAAACUCUCAUGUUGCACAAAAAUUAGUACUAGAAUGAUGAAAUAUGAGGUUUUAAAGUUCUUUAGUACUAGAAAUAUUUUGCUAAGAAAAAUACAGCUAGCAAUUUCACAAAACUCCCAUAAAAAUAUUUCUGUCUUUGGUGAGCAACAUUAAGAUGAACCUAAGGAAAACAGGCACGUGAAGGGAACGAUAGCACUUUAACAAGGUUAGUACAAAGCUGCUCAAAUGUUUACAUUUUACCAUUCUUCUCUAAAAGCUGCAUCCUCUUCUAUGUUUGUCUUCCUAAAUUGAAACCCUUAUUUUCAGUGUCCAUCUAAAUAUAUUCUCACUGCCUCCACCAUCAAUUAAGUAAAUGCCAUGUCUCUAACUCAUUUCCUUUCAAAAGGAUGAGCUCAGCCGCGCUCUGUGUAUUCCAUUUAUAAUGGCUCUCUUUGUACAUUUUGGUCCAUUGCCUCCGGUGUCAUUUCUCAUGCAUCUGUUUAUUCUGCCCAAUUAGAUUCAGAGCUUUGCGGUCAGAGGUACUUUUUCUUUUAUAUCUUCUCACAGCAUGCUCACAGCAUAGGUUUGAGAACUAAAUGUCUUCUACAUUUCACCAAUAUCUGUGCUGGUAUUUUUAGUUCCUUUUCAAAUGAACGUACUGGUGUUCUCACUGUGUAGAGGGAACCACGUGCAUUUGAUUACUCACACAGGGCAUAGCUCUGGGAUGAUUUUUUUAUUCCAGAUCAGAGAUUAUGUGGGCUAUUUGAGGAGCACAGGGACCCCAGGACUCUUUGUCAUGUUUCUUUAAAACCAGGAAUAUCCUUAAGCUUCUCCUACUAAGGGACUCACUGUUGCCCUGCUAACAGUUUCUAUCAUUGCUAAUUCAUUCUAUAUCAGAAAAUCUGUUCAUUUCCAUCAUAGUAUUCAUGAUGAUUUAUAAUUAUACACAUAAGGGAUGACAGAAUAAGUUAGAAAUAAAUAAAAGCAUCCAUGUAUAAAAUAUGUAGUAUAAUGAUGUACAAAAAUCUACAAAAUAACCCAUAUGCAUGAGUGCAUAUAUGUGUGUGUGUUAUGUUUUCAUUUUAUCUUCACCUCCACAGAUUUUCUUCACCACUAAACAUGCGAGCCUUUCUGAAAGCCUGGCACAUAGUAGGUACUCACAAAUAUUGGUUGAAUAAAUAAGUGAAUGAAUUAAUCUAUGAGAACAAAUAAGUAUUUCUACUCUUUGAUUACCAAACAAAAGUGUAUGGGAGGGCUAACAUUUUGGGUAGCAGGUUAAGCCACCACCUGCUAUGCUAGCAUCUUAUAUGGGUGCCAGUUUUGGCUGCUCUACUUCCAAUUCAGUUUCCUCCAAAUGCACCUAAGAACGCAGUGUAAGGUAGUCUAAGUACCUUGGCCCCUGCAUCUACAUGGGAGACCUGGAUGAAGCUCCUGGCUCCUGGCUUCAGCCUAGCCUAGCCCCUGCCAUUGUGGUCAUUUAGGGAAUGUGCCAGUGGACGCAAGAUCUCUCUCUCUCUCCCUCCCUCUCUGUAACUCUGCCUUUCAAAUACAUAAGUCUUUUUUAAAAAAAUGUUUAGAGGUGAGAAUUUGAAGCAGAGUGGAAAACGAAUCAAUUUUCUUUUCACUAUUCUAAAAUUUCAUAGGUUUAUCAGGAUUAUAAUCUGUCUCUUUCCAGACAAAAACUCCCAGAUUCCUCUGUUUUUAUCUGAAAAGAAGAAAGGCAAAGGCCAAAAAAUCUCUACUGUCCCCUGUUGGUACUAUCCAUCAAUAAAAACUACAAAGAUUUUAUUUUUAAAAAUCCAGGGAUUUCCAGCAAAAAACCUAAACUGACUGCACAUUCCUGCAUUGACUAUUACAAAUUCCUAGUUUUUUUUGUUUGUUUGUUUGUUUGUUUUUUUACCAGCACAGCCCUGUAAUUGUCAGAACAUAUCUAUAACAUACACACUAGUGUUUACCUGAAUAAAAGAUACUGGUGAUUAAGAAGAAAAAGUGGGUCAUAAAUACAGGAUUUGGUCAUGGAUGUGGUGGACUGCAAGGACUGUGACCUAGACUGUCUGGUUCAGGUCUUGGUUCCACUGUUUUCUAGCUGUGAGGCUGUGUGCAAGUUAUGAAAUCUUACCUGCUUCUAUAGUCUCCUUUGUAAAAUGGAGAUUAUAAUAGCACCUAGUCCACAGGACUUUUUUUUUAAAUGAGUUAUUUGAAAAAGCAGAGCAACAGAAUUAGAAAUGCAGAGAGAGAAAGAGAGAGAGAGAGAGAGAGAGAGAGAGAUCUCCAAUCUGCUGGUUCACUCUCUCAGUGCCCACAACAGCCAGGGCUGAGCCAGGCUAAGAGCUCCAUCCAGGUCUCCCAUGUGGGUGGCAGAGACUCAAGGACUUGAGCCAUCACCUGCUGCCUUCCAGGAUGUGCAUUAGCAGGAAACUAAAUGGGAAGCAGAGGUAGGACUCCAUCCCAGGCACCCCAAUGUAAGAUGCAGGGAUCCCAAGAGGCAGCUAAACUGGAUGCACCGCAACACCCACCGAGGGCUUCUUUAUUAGGACUAGAUCAAUCAAAAUAUGUAAAGCACUUGGAAUAUUGCCCAGCAUCUAGGAAGUGCCCAGUAAGUGUUCACCAUAUUCUUAUUCUCCAAUAUGCGAUGUAGGCACCCUAAGUAGCAUUUUAAUCAUGCUGAAUACCCACUCCAUGUCCUCUUGAUAAACAAGUGUUCUUUAAUUUUGCCCCUAACAGAAAAUGUUUCCAUGUAUAUCUUUCAAAUACCUAACAGUGAAGAUUACUCAUUCAUUCAGUUUCUUUCAUGUCAAAAGUCUGUAGAAUUGUUCAUAACAAUCAACUUUUUAGUACCCCCUAGCUUCACUCAGGAAUCUCAACUGACUUAACAAUGAUUUUCAAAGUUAUUCACCUGAAAGAUAUUUAUAUUCCCCAUAGUUUAAAUUUCUUUGACUUAUCAGAAAAAGCAUUAUGCGGGGGAGCGCAUCGUGGCACAGCAGGUUAAGCCACUACCUGUGAUGCCAGCAUCUGUUAUGUGCACCUAUUUUUGUCCCCACUGCUCCACUUCUGGUCCAGCUCCUAUUAAUGUACCUGGGAAAGCAGUAUAGGAUGGCCCAAGUGAUUGGGCCUGUGCACCCAUGUGGGAGACCUGGAAGAAUCUCCUGGCUCCCAGAUUUAGCAUGGGAGACCAGGAGAAGCACCUGGCUCCUGGCUUUGGAUCAGUGCAGUGCGCCGGCAGCAGCGGCCAUUGUGGGGUGAACCAACCGAAAAGGAAGACCUUUCUCUGUCUCUCUCUCACUGUCCACUCUGUCUGUCAAAAAAAAAAAAAAAAAAAAAAAAAAAAAGAUAUGUCUUUACCCAUCUUUGUAACUUGCCUUUCAAAUGAACAAUUACAUCUCUAAUCAAAAAAAGAAGAAGAAGAAGAAAAAAAAAGGAAAAAGCAUUAUUGGAGAUGUCAUUGUUGUGCACUGGAUUAAGUUGCUGUCUGCAAUGCCAACAUAUCAGAGUGCCAAUUCAAGUCCCAGGUGCUCUGCUUCAAAUCCAGCUCCCUGCUAAUGCACACGGGAAAGCAGCAGUUGGGGCCAAAGCACUUGAGCCCCUGCCAACCAUGUGGCGGACCCGGAUGGAGUUCCUGGCUCCUGGCUUCAGCCUGUUCCAUCCAUUGCAGUUGCAGCCAUCUGGGGAGGGAUCCAAAGGAAAAUCUCCCUGUCUCAUUCUCUCUCUCUGUCAUUCUGCAUUUCAAAGAAAGUACUUGUUUUAAAAAAGGCAUUAUUAAAUUUUACAUAUAUCUCAACACCCUCCAUCUUACUGCACCCUUUCCCACUUGUUUAUUCUUUAAGAAUGUGUGUAUACACACACGUAUAUAUAUAACGAAUAUUUAGUUUUAUUCUAGUACAGGCAUUACACCGGGGACUCAGUGAAAAAAAAAAAAAUUGAAAAACGGCAGUGAGCAAGACAAAGUCUCUGUUUUCAUGAAGUCUAGACCUUUGAAAAGAUUUGAAACAAUAAACACAUUACAUUUCAAUUACAAACUGAGAUAGUUCUUAUGCCUUAAAUAAGCUUGAGCCAGAAUAAUGGGGGGUGGGGAGUGGAGAGGCUGAGGGCUGGAUUAGGCCAAUUGCAGAAGGCCUCUCUGAGGAAGUGACAUUGAACACAUGAAGAAAGCAAAGAAACAAGCUGUUCAGAUUUCUAAGAAGAGAAGUGCUUCCCAGGCAGGAAGAACAGCAGUGCAGGAGCUGCGCUAUAGAGAAGCACACAUACUGUGCUAUACACCGCUGAGUCGGGAGCUGGGCACUGGUGAGCAAUGGGGAGAAUGGCCUGCGAAGAGCUUGGGGGGACAGGUGUUUCUCCCAUCAUUCAGUGUUUUCUGACCUGGACAUUCUCCAGGGCACUGUGGAAAGGUAUGUACUGAGUUGGAUUUGUGGCACAGAAGGUGCCGCCACUGUUUGAGAUGCCAACAUCUCAUAUCAGCAUGCCAAUUCGAGUUCCAGCUACUCCCUUCCCAUCCAGCGUCCUGCUGAUGGACCUGGGAAAGCCGCAGAUGACCGAAGUACUGGGGUUCUUACCACCAAUGAGGGAGACCAAGGUGGAAUCCCAGGCUCCUGGUUUUGACCUGGACCAGCCUGGCUGUUGCAGACAUUUGGUUAGUGAACCAGUGGAUGGAAGAUCUUUCUCUCCCCCACCCCACUUCCUCCCUCUGUGUGUUUGGGGGGAGGGAGAGACUCUGCCUUUCAAAUCAAUUAAUCCUUUAAAUAUUAUUUAAAUAAAGAGGGAGUAUGAGACAAUAAUACAUGGUUCAAAGAUAACCAUGGUUGCUAUUUAGAAAAUGUGUGUGAAGUAGUAAGACUAAAAUAAAUAACCUUGCAGAAUAAAUGAAGUUAAGAUUAUGCAAGCCUGAUUGGAGUACUUCCAGUUAAAGGUACUUGCAAUACAAAUGUAAGCGUUAGCAAUGUAUGUAUGGAACAUCGUAUAUGCGAGAGGCCUAGAAGAAAAAAUAAGAGAAUUUCAUAGUACAUUGGAUUGGAAAGGGAGAGACCAUGUUUUUGGAUAAUAAUUUUAUUUAUUGAGAAGGAAAAAAAAAUGAGGAAGUAGCAGGAGUUCUGUCUUGGUAAAGUUAAUUUCAUGAUACUUACGUGACACCUCAAUAGAGAUGUUAAAUAGGCAUUUGGUUACACUGAUGAGAAGUUGCUGUAUAAAUGAAUCAAAAAUAGCCUCUGUGUAUUGGACUCUCGGUUGCUUUUUCUUCUCUGCAAGAUGAGACUUGUUUAAAUAAAAAAAAGCCCACCAGAGGAAAAAAAAUCAAAUUUUUACACAUGCAUUUAUUUGUGACAUAGCCUACCUACUGUCUAUUUUAAGAUAGGAUUAUACUCUGUCUCCUGCUUCGAUACAAAAACGGUGUUAGAAUGUCUACCGUCUUCUCUGUUUAUGUCAUUUUUCCAUAUUUUUGCUUUGCCAUAUAUUAUUAUCUGAUAGAGUGCUAAGUAAAUAUUUUAUAAAUGACUGAAUAAACAAAUGCAUGAAUGGACAUUAUGACCAUAUUAGGAUUACUAUGGAAAACUGUAGUUACGUUUACAUGGUGAUAGAAGACCUCAGGUGGUUGGGGAAAGUUAGGAUAUUUUUGUUUUCUUGAUGUUAUGACUGUCUAUUCCUUCUUUUCAAUGAAGUUAGAUCGUACUCUACCCUAAAUAAAAAUAUUGGAAUAUUGGGCUCAUAUACAUUGUACCACAGGAACUAUACAGAUAACAGAAUAUGAAAAUAUGUCAAUUAUAAAUGCUGCUAGUUUCAUAAAAUCUCAAGAUGGAAUAACACUGAGGACUUAUUAAAAAUUUAUCUCAUGGGGCCGGCACUGUGGCAUAGCAGUCAAGGUUGCCCUCUGCAGUGCCAGAAUCCCAUAUGCUUGCUGGUUUGAGUCCCAGCUGCUCCACUUUCCCAUCCGGCUCUCUGCUAUGGCCCAGGAAAGCAGAAGAUGGCCUGAGUCCUUGGGCCUGCACCUGUGCAGGAGUCACAGAGGAAGUUCCUGGCUCCUGGCUUCGGAUUGGCCAAGCUCCAGCUGUUGCAGCCAUUUGGGAGUGAACCAGUGGAUGGAAGAACUCUCUCUUUCUCUCUGCCUCUGCCUCUCUGUAACACUUUCAAAUAAAUAAAUAAAUCUUAAAUGUAUCUCAUAUCAUUAUAAUAAUUUAAUUAUACCUCUUUAGAAUAAAUUUAAAACAAAGAAAAAUGGUAUUUUUAUUCGAUUCUAAGACCUGAAUUUAAGUCGCCUCUGAGACAACUUUCUGUUCUUAAUUACAACCUUCUUUUUGUGAUAACAGCACUGUUAGCUUUUGAUUUUCAUUAGGGGGACAUGGCUGUUCCAAACACAUUAGGAGUUAGAUCACUGUUUCCAUAUGUUUUUUGAAGAUACUUGUUCAUAAUUCACACAUUGGCAAUUAAAAAGAAAAAGAGAAAAACUAACAUUACAGAAGUCUAUGACAUCUAUAUUAUGGAAUGUAAUGACUAAGAUAUAAUAAGUGUUCAUAAAUACUUCAUUGCAAAACUAAAUAAAUGCAAUGAAUAAAAGAUCAUGGGUGUUAACUGAGUACAAACUUAAAACUGCAACGGAUGGUGAAGCACAGAAACAUAGAAGCAUAGAAACAUAGAAGCAUAGAAACGGAUGGUGCAGCAUAGUUAGUUUCCUUAACUAUGAACCAACACUGGUUGUAAGACACAUUACCUAUUUAAUGAAAAUCAUUCAGUAGAAAAGAUGAAUAAUCAGUAAUUUUAUAUUGAUUAUGAGAAGCACCUCAGGUCAAAUUUUAAAAUUAAAUAAGUGCAUCUUAGAAAUGAUUUUUUAAAAUCCUGCAUCACAACUAAUACUUGAAAAGAACUCAUUUAUAUUGCAGACAGGAAUGGUUAACAAAUGUUAGAGUUCUGCAUUUAUGUUAUGUAAUUAUCUACAAUUAUAGAUAAUUACAUAAUAACUUCCACAAACAUGUUUUAUUGACAUUGAUGUCUGUUUGUGAAAAUACUGAGCGAGGUUGGUCUCUCCUUUGAGAUAUAAAAAGUAAAUUUAUAAACUUGUAUAUGGAAAUCCCCACAUACCAAUUUAUUGUUGCUAUAAGUAAACAUGUCAAAUGACUUAGUAUUUAUAGAAAAAUUUCACUUUCAUUUUUCAAGGAUCUUAUUCCUUAAAAUCAUAAGAGCAAAUUUAUGAAGAAAUUAUAUAUAUUUCAAUGCAUAUUCUAUCUGUCCUUUCUUGCUGAAAACUUAGACAAAGAAGAGCCCAAAUAUCUAGUAAACUUUACUGGUUCUUAAAAACUAUAAAGUGGCCGGCGCCGUGGCUCACUAGGCUAAUCCUCCGCCUUGCGGCGCCGGCACACCGGGUUCUAGUCCUGGUCGGGGUGCCGGAUUCUGUCCCGGUUGCCCCUCUUCCAGGCCAGCUCUCUGCUGUGGCCAGGGAGUGCAGUGGAGGAUGGCCCAAGUGCUUGGGCCCUGCACCCCAUGGGAGACCAGGAUAAGUACCUGGCUCCUGCCUUCAGAUCAGCGCGGUGCGCUGGCCGCAACGUGCCGGCCAUGGCGGCCAUUGGAGGGUAAACCAACGGCAAAAAGAAGACCUUUCUCUCUGUCUCUCUCUCACUGUCCACUCUGCAUGUCAAAAAAAAAAAAAAAAAAAAAAAAAAAAAAAACUAUAAAGUGAAUAUUCCUGGUUAGUGAAGGUAAUGUUGUAGAUGCCAAAGAACUUUAUAGAUUUUCUAAAUAAUUUAAAAUCCAUAUUACAAAAGGGCAUAUUGUUUUUCUAAAAGUUUUUUUUUCGUUAAUUGGAAAAAGAGAGAUACCCCAUCCACCACUUCACUCCCCAAAUGCCCACAGCUGCUUGGGUAGGGCCAACCAUAGACAUGAGCCCAAAAUUCAAUCCAGGUCUCCCACAUGGGUGACUGGGACCAUCAUUUGCUGCCUCUCAUGUGUGUAUUAGCUAUAAGCUUGGCCAAUCACUACCCUAAAAGUCAUAUUCUUCAAACUCUGGAGUUCAAGAAACAAUAAUCAUCUUCCUAAUAAUGAUCAAUAAACAUGUAUGGAAUGACCACUCCAUAAUUACUUAAUUGUAUUAUUUUUGCAUAUCCAUAAUAAGGCCCAUUUGUGAGAACUUUUAAAACUUCAUAGAAGGGGCUGGGACCAGUGAUAUUGCACAGUGGGUUAGGCUAUCAUCUACACAAUGGGUCAGGUUAGCAUCCCAUCUGGGCUAGGGUUUGUUUCCCAGCUGCUCCACUUCCCAUCUGGCUCCUUGCUCAUGUGCCUGGGAAAGCAGCAGAGGAUGGCUCAAGUCACUGGGCCAAUGCACCCACAUGGAAGACCCCGAAGAAGCUCUUGGCUCCUGGCUUUGGCCUGGCUCAGCCGCAGUCAUGUGGCCACUUGGGGAGUGAACCAGCAGAUGGAAGAUGUCUCUUUCCUUCUCUGUAACCCUGCCUAAACAAAAAAAGCUCAUACAAAAUGGGAAUUAAAGGUAUUUAUUUUGGUGCCAUAAACUUGAUAUCCAUGCAUAGUUUUGAUAAUAUACAUUUUCAUUAACUUUUCAAUGACCCAUUGAAUGCAUUGAUUUUAAGAUUUUUGCAGCAAAAUAAGUUUAUCUUAUAACUGUAUUUUCCAUAAACUUUAAACAUCAGCAUAUAAUUUUUAUAGUUAUAUAUAAUAAAAUAUCCUCUAGAUGUGAGAAGUAGACCAUGCAUCUUUUUAGACUCACAAAAAUAACUACAGAAGAAACAGAGUAGUUGUCCUCUGUGGGACAGACACAUGCUGUACAAUGUGGCCUGGAAGCCAUCUGUACACUCCUCUAGAUCUGUGAGCUAAGGACUCUGGACACAAAAUGUUUUAAAGCACAUGGUACUCUAGGGCCUUGUUUAAUGUUCAGUGUACAAAAAAGUACCUGUGUUUACAGUACCUUCCAUCUGCUAGUUCACUCCCCAAAUGAUCGCAAAAGUCAGAUCUGGGCCAGGCCAAAGUCAGGAGUAGUAACUAAAUUCUGGUUUCCCAUUUGGGUAGCAGGGGCUCAAGCAAUUGAGCCAUCCUCUUCUGCUUUCUCAGGUACAUAGCAGAGAGCUGAGUGGGAAGCAGAGGCACCAGGACUCAAACAAGCAGUCCAACAUGGGAUUCUGGAGUCCCAAUUUCCAAUUUAAUGCACUAUGCCAUAAUAUCCCUCCCUGAAAUCGAUUUUCAUAUGAGGCUUAGUAGUUGGUUCUGAGAGCAAUUACAGAAGUAGAUUAGAACAUGUGUGGUAGAACAUGAUGGAAUUGUGUAAAUAUGCCUACUUUGGAGAAGUAAAUAUAACUUCUAAUAAUUUCUAUUUUAAAAGUAUUCUUGGCACAUUUAGUGUAAAGUUCAUGGGGAAAGGCAUUAGAAGAUAAAUUUUUGUGCAAAAAUUUGAAAUCCUUGUAUUUAAUGGAUCAUCAACAACUUCAUAAAAAUUCCAUAUUAUGAAAAUACUUUACAUAAAAGUCAAAACUUUUUGUACCAAAAUAAACUUGUAAUUCCAUCUUUAAAUUCACUUUUAGAAGUACUAUCUUUCAAUGAAUUCAAGCAAAUAAUUUAAAUAUGUAAAAUCCUCAGGUUAAAGACUGCAGAUAAUAAGGGAAAUAAACAAAUAAGGAAGUGAUGCCCGAUAUUCUACUUAUCCAAAGUAAAGAUGAACUCCAAAAAAUUUAUCACAUGAAACAAACAAACAUGAGGCUGCUGUUACUGACAGGAUGGUGAUAGGCAUUGUCAUAUCUUUUAAUAUUUUGUAAACUCCCGAGAUGUUCCUUGAUGUAUAUUCUACACACUUUAGGACUUCCCACACACAUUAAAUAAUUUAAAAAUAGACACAGUUUGACUUCAAUCAGAUGUGGGUUUGAAUAUUAGACCAUGUAUGGAAAAGUUAUCUAACAUGUCUAAGUUUCAGUUUUUUCAUCCAUAAAAUUUUAGAAUUGAUAACAUUAAGUGUGACAGUGCAAAGAAUGCAUUUAGCUCAAUACGUAGCACAACCCAAUUAAAUGGUAUUGAUUUAUUUCAUAACUAGAAUUUAAACAUUCUAAUUUUUUUAACUUGUGAAAGCACUGUUCAUCUCUGUCUUUGUGUAGAACUUUUAUUAAUUCCUUCCACCAGCAAUCUAACCAGUAUGUACUGAAUAUAUCUUAAGUAUAGACUACUAUUGCAGAGAGUAGGGAAAACAAAGUUGAAAUAGAUAUGGUAUACUGGGGCCAGCGCUGUGGCACAGUGAGUUAAUGCCCUGGUCUGAAGUGUCAGCAUCCCAUAUGAGCGCUGGUUCUAGUCCCGGCUGCUCCUCUUCCGAUCCAGCUCUCUGCUAUGGCCUGAGAAAUCAGUAGAAGAUGGCCCAAGUCCUUAGACCCCUGACCCAUGUGGGAGACCAGGAAGAAGUUCCUGGCUUCUGAACUGCUUAGCUCUGGGCGUUGCGGCCAUCUGAGGAGUGAACCAGUGAAUGGAAGACCUCUCUCUCUCUCUGUGUCUACCUCUGUCUGUAACUCUUUCAAAUAAGUAAGAAUAAAUCUUUAAAAAAAAAGAAAUAGAUAUGGUAUACUCUCAGCUUAUGGUUCAUUGGAGAAAUAAAAGUAAUACCAUAUUAUAACCAUAAGGAAAAUAUCCAAUAAGGACACACAUCAACUAUAGAGCCCUACAUAGAGGCUAAUUCUGAAAGGGGCAAAGAAAUGCUUUAGGUUAAGGGAUUCUGGAAGGGAGAAUUGGAGACUGUCUCGAGGAAAUGUUUAGAAGGAAUGGUUUAAAUGACAGGAAUAUUAUAAACCAAAGGAAAGAUAUCCAAAAACAGAAUAUUUUCAGGGAAGUAGAAUUGGUUUACAGUUUCUGUUGUAAAAAGAAAAUCAUAAUUAGAAUGCAGAGCCUGAACAGAUUUGUGAGGGCUGAAAUACUUAGUGAAUAACACUGGAUAGGCAAUGGUAAUCCAGUGAAAGUGAAUUAUGGGUACAUUUCAGGAAACCUAACCUGGAAUCACCUCAUAGUUUGUUUUAGAGAAAGAAAAGAUUGGAAGCAAAAGACGAAUAAUGGGCAGGCAUCUGGUAUAGGGAUGCCUGCAUCCCAUAUCAGAGUGUCUAGGUUCGAGUUCCACCUUCAGUCACAGUUCCAGCAACCUGUUGAUGCAUACCCUGGUUGGCAGCAAGUGUGGACUCAAAUACUUGAGUCCCUGCCACACAUAAAGAAUCAGAUUGAAUUCCUUGCUGCAGGCUUUUUCUUGGCCCAGCUUCAGCUAUUGUGGGCAUUCGGGAAAUGAACUAGCAGAGAGAAGGUUAAAUGAUAACUUACCAUUUAAUGAUCUUCAGACCUUGUGUUUCCAUAUCAAGAACAAGAAUAUAACUUAAUUUUUGUACUUUUGUGAAGUAGCUUCAGCAUGCAAAUGGAGAUAACCAAAGUUAAACACUUUAACUCAACUGAAUGAGCCAUAAACAGGUCUUGUUUGUGAAAGUAGGAAGACAUAAAUGAAUAUGAGAGAAGGACUUGAAAAUAACUAAUGUAAAGCUCACUUUGCCGUUUCUUGUGUUUUCUGAUAUUGACUGCCAUCUUUCUUUAGUGUUUUCUAUUGUCAUGACAAAUUCCUAUCUCCACUCAUCUGAUCCCUGACUUGUCUAUUAAAGGAAUAUUUUCUUCAAAUCAUUUCUGCAACAUGUGGAUGAGUAGAUAGAGUUCAGCAUGAGAAGAAGAAAAACACAUUUUUUUCAGAUUAUUGGUCAAUCUCAAGAUGAGAGAGUAAAUCACUUUGGGUGAGUAACUAUUGUGUUGACUCUAUACUCCUUCAAGUCAGAUAAGUAAGAAUAAUAAAUAGGGUCCUAAGAAAAAUGUAAAAAUCAGACUACCUAAGGUCUCAAUAUUGUUCUGUGUUAUACAAGAGUAGGACACUAUGCAACAAAUGGAAUAUCUUCACAUGUUGAGUUGGUUAUAGGUGUUGAACAUGACUAUAAAAUAAAAUUUUCUUUAUCAUUAACUGUCCCUUUUAUAAUUUUGUAACAAUUUUUAAUGUAAACAAAUUUCAUGUAUUUUUAUAUACAGAUUUAGGAGCAUACUGAAGCUUCCAACUCUACAUUCCCUCCUGCCACACUCCCACCCAACCUCCUCCCUCCUCUUAUUCCCUCUUUUUUAAAAAAUGAUCUUUUUUUUUUUACUUUAUUCUCAUAAGAUUAAACCUACACUAUGUAAAGAGUUCAACAAUAGUAUGAAGGAAAAAACACUGUUUCUCAACAGUAGAGACAAGGCCUGUAGUCAAUCAUUUGGAUCUCAAAAUAUUAAUUUCAGUUCUAUACAUUAUUCUUUUGGUACUCUAUUUUAACACAUAUCAGGGAAAACAUAUGGUAUUCAUCUUUUUGGGACUAGUUAUUUCACUAAGUGUAAUGGUUCCCAGUUGCAUCCAUUUGAGAUUCUUGAGUUGUUAAUUUUCAACUUCAUUGCAUUAUGAUCAUAAAAGUGGCAUGCUCAUGGUAUGAUUUUAAUUUUUUUGAAUUUGCUGAGACUUGCUUUAUGGCCUAGCAUAUUCUAGAGAAAGUUCCAUAUGCUGAUGAAAAGAAUAUAUAUGCUACAAUUGUGAGAUGAAAGGUUCUAUAGAUAUCAGUUAGGGCCAUUUGGUCCAUAGUGUAGAUUAGCUCUGUUGUUUUCUUUGUUGAUUUUCUGUCUGGUUCAUUUGUGCAUUGAUGAAAGUAGGGUGUUGACAUCCCCCAUUACUGUUGUAUUGGAGGCUUUCUCUCUUUAGGUAAAUUAACAUUUGUUUUAAAUAGCCAAUUACUUGGCAUUGGGUGCAUAUACAUUUAUUAUAGUCACAUCUUCCUGUUGAAUUGAUCCUUUAUUCAUUACAUAAUGAACUUGUGUUAACCAUUUUUGUGUGAAAGUCUAUUUUGUCUGAUAUCAGAAUGGCUACACUUGCUCAUUUUUGCUUUCUGUUAUCAUCUUUUCCAUCCUUUCACAUUCAAUCUUCUUAUAUUUGUUGGAGUUUUUUUCCUAUAGGCAGCAAAUAGAUGGGUCUUGCUUUUUAAUCCAUUCAGCCAGUCUGUAUCCUUUAAUCAGAGAAUUUAGGCCAUUUAUGUUAAAGGUUACUAUUGAUAAGUAUUAACUUGGGCUUGCCAUUUUUCUGUAAAUAUUCCUAUGUCUGAUUUGGAUUUCUUUUAUACUUUUACUGGGAGAUUUUAUGCCUUCACAUUCUUUUAUAAUGAUGAGCAUGUCUCUGUGUUUCUAUGUGUAGUAUAUCUUUAAGCAUCUUUUGUAAGGUUAGAUGAGUGGUGACAAAUUCUUUCAUUUCUGUCUGUUAUGGAAGAUCUUUAUUUCAGUUUCAUUCAUAAUGGAAAGCUCUACAGGGUAAAAUAUUCUGAGUCGACUUCUAUUUUUUUUUUCCUCUUAAGACUUGGACUGUCUCUCCAUUCUCUUCUAGUCUAUGGAGUUUCUGAUGAGAAAUUGAGAAAUCAGCUUUAAGUCUAAUUGGAGAUCCUCUGAAAGUAAUCUGGCAUUUCUCCCAUACAUGUUUUAGAGUCUUUUCUGCAUGUUUUACUGUUGAAAGUUUGACUACAACAUGUCAUGGUGAAGAUCUUUUCUGGUCAUGUCUACUAGGAAUUCUAUGUGCCUUGUGUAAUUGGAUGUCCCUUUCUGUCUCCAAAUCAGGAAAGUGUUCUACAAUAUUUCACUAAAAGACCUUAUAAUCUUUUCUCUUUCCACAUCUUCAAGAACUCCUAAGACCCGUAUGUUGGGUCCUUUGAUAGUAUUCCAUAAAUCUCAAGCAUUGUUUUUAAUUUUUCUAAUUUCUUAUUAUUUCUUUUGGUCUGACUUACUUCCAAAGAUUUGUCUUCAGCUCAGAAUUCUUUUGUCUUCCUCACCUAGUCUGUCUUUUAAGGCUUUCCACUUUAUUUUUUAUUUUUCAUAUUGAAUUCUUUAUUUCUAACAUCCUAGUUUGAUUUAUCUUCAGAAUCUCAAUCUCAUGGGAAAAAAUUCCCUCUUUGUCAUGUAUGGAUUUCUUUAACUUCUGAAUUUGCUUCUCAUUGCUUCUGUGCAAUCCUCUGAUCAAUCUUUUGUAUUCCUUUACCGGCAUUUCAUUAAUCUCUUCAUCUUCACAUUCUAAUAUUGAAGUGUUGUAUUCUUUUGGGGGAAUCACAUUGUCUUCCCUAUUCGUUUUUCUUGAAUUUCUCUGUUUUUAGGCAUUUGUGUAAAUACUUGAUUUUCUCUGCUCAUAGAUUUUUAUCUUUGAACUAUGUACCUGUGGCUUAGUUAAGUGGUCUUUCAUUGAAUACCCAGAGGGGUGUUUUGGGUGUGACCAGGGAGCUCUGGUCAGUGCUAGGGGGCAGGGGGAACAUGAGUAUCAAGGGUGACACACAGUUGAGUGUGGUGGAUCCCUAGUGUCAGAAGGGAAGGGUAUGAUCACCUCUGUUAGCACAAGUAUACUCUCAAGUCCUGUCUUCCAAGGUGAUCAAUGCCUGGGGUUAGCCCUCAGUGGGUACAAUACUCACCCAUGCUGGCACAUGAACCAAACAAAGGGCUUUGCAACCCUCAGUUUGAAAACAGAACCUUCUGCAAUGACCCACCCUAGGCAAUAAAGGAGUUUUAACUCCAUGGUGUCAGAUACAGGGAUUGCUCAUAGACCCUGCUACACCCUGCACCCUAUCAUGAAGUCAGAGUUCCCACUUUCACAACAUGCAAGGCUCCCACUGUCAUGGUGUACAGAGGUGCCACUGUGCCCCACUAGCCUAUCCCAUCCACAGAGAAAGCAGAGAUGUUCCCAGAGCCAGCUGCCUGUGGGUGGUGGGUGCUCUGCCUUGGCAGUUUGAGCUAUAUAGCCUGUGAUAUGUUGAGAUGAUGGGGGAGCCUCACAGUCCUACGUGGGUGCAUAGUCCCCUCUCAACUCUCACAGCCAGACUCAAAGUCAGUGGGGAAUGCUGAUUUUCCCUCUGGUAAAAUCUCCUGAUCACAUGUGUGCACAAGAGCUACUGCAUCUACUACUGGUGUCAAAAUGGCACCUUCUCCCCUCCAGUUGCUGGGCGCCCUGAUGGAGAGCUGAUGAGAAAGAAACAUGCUUUUCAUUUGCUGGAUUAGGUGGGCAACCUGCCCCCCAUUAAAGCUCCAGGCUGGGCUCAAAGACAGCAUGGUCCACAAGGCUCCCCCUCAGGCAAGAUCACCAGUGGCACAGUCCACAAGGCUCUCCCUCAGGCAAGAUCACCAGAGGCACAGGCUGCCACAGUCUGCUGUCACCUUGCUCUCCAGAGCUGGAGUCUCCUUUAGCUCUCAGCUAUGAGGGAACGUGUGUGGUGCCCAUGCUUGUUGCUGCAUGUCUGCACCUUCCACACUGGUCCACAGUGUCCCUCUUUCUUCUGUAGAAUUUCCACUGAAAAUUUCUCUUCAACUGUCCCCUGGAAAUGCACUUUCUACACUUUUCUUCUAGUUUUUCCCCUUAAUCUAAAGCAGUUUGUCUUUUCGCUAUUUAGCCAUCUUGGAAUCCUCCUUAUUGUUAAUAUCUUAAAGUUUAUUCUCUGUUAGAAUGACUUAUUGAGUACUCUCCUACAGCACUUUAUUUUCUACAUUUUAACCUUUUAUGGAAAUAUUUAAAUCUGCACUGAGAGAGAAAGAUAUAGCAUAAUGUACACCAUAUACCCUUCACUUUAAUAAGUAACAUUUUGGGGCCGCCUCUUAAGUAGAGUAAGCAUCCACAUGAGGCGCUGGCAUCCCUUAUGGAUGCCAGUUCGAGUCCAGGCUGCUGGACAGCCCACCAACUGGAGGCUCCAGCAACUUCUGCUCCAGCUCUCUGUUGAUGGCCUGGGAAAACAGUGGAAGAUGGCUCAAGUGCUUGGGUCCCUGCACCCAUGUGGAGACCUGGAAGAAGCUCCUGGCUCCUGGCUUCUGAUCGGCCCAGCUUGGUCCAUUGCGACCAUUUGGAGAGUGAACCAGCAGAUGGGAGACCUCUCUCUGUCUGUAACUCUGCCUCUCAAGUAAAUAAAUCAAUCUUUAAAAACAUAAGUAACGACCGGCGCCGCGGCUCACUAGGCUAAUCCUCCCCCUUGAGGCACCGGCACACCGGGUUCUAGUCCCGGUCGGGGCGCCGGACUCUGUCCCGGUUGCCCCUCUUCCAGGCCAGCUCUCUGCUGUGGCCAGGGAGUGCAGUGGAGGAUGGCCCAAGUGCUUGGGCCCUGCACCCCAUGGGAGACCAGGAAAAGCACCUGGCUCCUGCCAUCGGAUCAGCGCAGUGCGCUGGCCGCAGCGCGCCAGCCACGGCGGCCAUUGGAGGGUGAACCAACGACAAAAGGAAGACCUUUCUCUCUGUCUCUCUCUCUCACUGUCCACUCUGCCUGUCAAAAAAUAAAAAAUAAAUUAAAAAAUUAAAAAAUAAAAAAAAGUAACAACAUUUUGUCAAAUGUUCCCAGUGUGUUAUUAUUACUCUCACUCUUUAUUGGACUAUUUUAAAUCUAAUAUCAAAUAUGUUAUUUUGAAAAUAAUUCAGUAUGCAACUCUAAUUGACAACUAUUUGAACAUAAUAAGCAUGUCUUUGUCAUACCAUAGAUCCUUAAUCUACUAUACAUUCCUUGUAUACAUUUCUCCACUUUGUCAAAGAUGUCCCUUUAUAGUUUGUCCAAACCAGGAUCCAAACUCCACACAACAUUUUUGGUUACUAUGUCUAAAACAUAUUAUGGUUUUGUUAUUUGAUUAUUUUAUCUGUAGUAUUCUUCCUUUCACUUUUUCUUGACAUUUGUUUAUUGGAAAAAAAUUACUUAAUAUUUUAUAUCAAGAUUGUUACACUACUUUUACUUGUAAAACAAAAAUAUAACUCAUUCGAUGUUUGUUCAACCACUGUAUAAUGAACAAUUACUAUGUAGAGGACAUUGUACUAGGCACUGAAUGAAAUUCUAAGAUGGUUCCCACCUCCAAGAUGUUACAAAAUAGAGGAAGAUGGUAUCCACAUGGCAGUAGAAGCUAAUUAUGUGGUAAAAAUACUAUAGUUUUAAUUGUAAGCAAAUGCAUAUAAAGAUUAUGCAGUGGUUUUUGAAGAGUUGGCAGGGGAGAUGGAUAUAUCAAUACGUUAGAGUGAUCAUAAAUUAAGAUCCAGCUAGGUUGGGAGACAAGUUAAAAGGAAAGUUAAUUCGGUUAUUCAAAAAGUUGAGGAAAAGCAAGACAUAAACUUUAAGGUGUGGGGAAAGUGAGAAGUGUUAUAAGAGAUUUUAAGGGACUCUAGGGAUUGUAGACAAAUAAUUCAGUGGCAGCAAACCUUUGUAAAGGAGAUAUGCCUAAGUGACAAGUAGAGAGCAUGUUUGGGAGGAUUUUGAACAACAGGCUAAAUGUCUUGAACAUUGUCCUCUAGAGCUGGAACUAUGAACUUUAUUAAUUUUUCUACUUAUGGAAGAUUAGAAGUUACAUAAUCAUAGAUAUUAUAUUAGUGAGCAAAACACAUCUAAUUUCGUAAGGGAACUUAAAAUGUUUCUACAUUCCAACAGCUAUCAUUUUCAAAUAUUUACAGCAAAUUGGUGGAAUAAUUUAAUGCUUAGUUUUGCCUAAUAGCUAGAUGCUCCACUUAGAGGAAUGCAAAAAUACAGAGCUGAUUUAGCCAACCUCUACUACAUAGCACAGAAGAGAGACCUUCAUAAAACAAGGAUUCUUCAUAUCACAGCGUCAAACAGCAAACACAACUCAACAAAUUUAACAUAGACAGAAGGUGAUUCUGUUAAAAAUAUUCAUCCUAAUUAUGUCAAAUUCUACAAUUUUGUGUAUUUUGAAAAUACAGUGAAGCUUGUAAUAUAAACUAUGUUCUACCUAACAAUUUUAAAUAUAAUAAUCAAAAUUUCUAUAAUUUGAUUGCCCUUUAAUCUAUCAGAUUUUUAAAAAUUUACCACCUCCCAAAGACGAAUGUUAUAUAACUCCUGAACAAAGUUCAUACUUACUUGUUUUUCUAUCUUGAGCUCAGCCACUUUCUCAAUAGGUUCUCUUCUGAAAUGCUUUCUUCUUCUCAACCUAAUAACAGCCCUCAUAACCUGUAUGGAUUUUUCUUGUUUGCCACCACUAGAAGCUGUAGUGAAUAACAACAAUCCAGGGCCGGCACCGCGGCUCACUAGGCUAAUCCUCCGCCUUGCGGCGCCGGCACACUGGGUUCUAGUCCCGGUUGGGGCGCCAGAUUCUGUCCCGGUUGCCCCUCUUCCAGGCCAGCUCUCUGCUGUGGCCAGGGAGUGCAAUGGAGGAUGGCCCAGGUGCUUGGGCCCUGCACCCCAUGGGAGACCAGGAAAAGCACCUGGCUCCUGGCUCCUGCCAUCGGAUCAGUGCAGUGCACCGGCCGCAGCGGCCAUUGGAGGGUGAACCAACGGCAAAGGAAGACCUUUCUCCCUGUCUCUCUCUCUCACUGUCCACUCUGCCUGUCAAAAAAAAAAAAAAAAAAAACCAAACAAACAAACAAAAAAAAAACAAACACAAUCCAUACAAGAUGUUCCAUUUAUUUAAUACAGUGGUUCAAAAUUACAAGUGAUUUUUCACUUAGUCCCCAGGACACAUUUGGCAAUAUCUGUGGACAUCUUAUUAGUAGAGGUCAAGGAUGCUGCUAAAUGUUCUAUGAUGUAUAGGGUGGGUUCCUAUCAUUCAAAAUAAUCUAACCAGAAAGCCAAGAGUGCUGCUGUUGAGGAACCUGAACCCAAUCCAGCGUUACACCUCUCUUUCAAUCUUGGCCAUGAUAUUACUUCUCUGUGUAGGUCUUCAAUUAUAUGUACUAGAGUAAAAGAUUCUGGAAUACUAGGAUCACAUUUUAUACACGGUUUUAUUCAGUCAAAUGCCUAGCACAGAGUUUGAUUAUAAAAUUAAGAAGAGGCAUUUCUUAGUAAAAAUGCCACUUGAACAUGCAAAUGAAAUGAGUAAAGCAUCAUUUUGCCAAUAUUAAUGUGUCAAUUCUGGGCAUGAUUUGGCCAUAUGAGAAAGCCCAUUUUAGGUAUGGGAUUCAGAUAAGGACCCAAUUUCACAGGAAUUAGAGAACAUACUUAUGGGAUAUGUAUUUCUCAGCACAUGGUAAGAAAAGAAGAAAAGGAAAGAUGGAAACAUCUGCUUCUGUUUGAUCUCCCUAAGUGUUGAUUAUUUGCUCAUAAUGGAGCUGACAGUUCAUGAUACAGCUGAUUGGCAAAUAUGCCAGUUUUCCUGGGACUUCAUGAAAUAGAAAAUUGUAAGUUAUUUUGUUGAAUGGUAAAGCCAAAGAUGGUAUUGUUCCCAAAAAUAACUAUCCAAUGACACAGAACCUAUGAAUAUAAUCUUUUAAAUAAUCUUGUUUAAAAAUAUUCAAUGUAUAUACCAGGGCCUGAGACAAAAAGGUGCUCGAUAUUCAUUUGCUGAAUGAAGAUCUCUAAAACUAACAUUUGUCCCCAUAUUAAGGUUCUUGCCACACAGACAGACCUUUCAAAGUUGCUCCAUCUGUCCUGUACAUUUUAAAAGUUUCAACCUAAGCUUUCUACCUCUCCAUUUGCAACCGGGAAUGUUCAUGCGGUAUAUCAUUCAGUUUAUUGUGAUAUACUAUAUAAUUUAAGAAUCCUGCAACUCCAUUUCAAGAACUAAAAUGUAUACUUAACUAAAUUUACUCUUGGUUAGUAAUCACACUGCUCUUUUCAGUAAAUCUGAAAAGAUUUACUAUCCCUUUGAACACAAAAAUCUCUUAAUACAAACAUGAUAAUGGUAUUAAAAUUAGAGAAAAAACAAGCAACUAUCAGAGAGAAAGAGAUUCAGGUCAUCAUUCCUCCUUAACACCUACAUCUUUUUCUAGUCAUGCUCAAGUCACCUGAUUUACAUCUAAGAAAGGGGUAUUUUCUGAAACUCUAAUCUUUUAUUCCAUUUUUACCAAUGAGUUAAUAUAUUUCUUUUAGAAAUUCUUAAACUUGCAUUAUUUAGCUUACACUUAGAUUAUACUUAUUACAAAAAAUAUUGUAGUGCACUUUUUAGAAAAUACAGAUUAAAUGAAAUAAUAAAAGCUCACCUAGUGAGUAGCAAAUGAAAACCUAGGGAAAUAUACAGAGAAAACUUAAUGUUGGGCACAGGAAUUUAAUUUUCUUAAAUUAGAAAACCUAGUUUCAUAAUUAAGAAAUUACAAAUGGUAAAAGAAUCAAGAGGUCUUCUUUUUCUGGUAGUUAGAUAGAAAAUAAAUCACAAUUGGAAGAAAGUUGAAAAAGAAGUUGUGCAAUAAUCUAGAUGUUCAUUUAUCAAAGGCAAUUUUAAGUAUCCAUAAUAUUAGUGACACUUCAUUAGAUAUAAAUUAAUAUUUACUUGAACUAGGGCAGUGACUAUAGAAUUUGAAACAAAUUUAUUGCAUAUUCAUAAAAUGAUUAACUCUGGGCUGAUUUUUUUCUUGAGGCUUUUAUGGUUACUUUUUUAUUUUUCAGAUUAUACUUACUUGAAACUGAUUCAUGGUGGUAUUGGGGGUGCUUUCCUAAAAUAAAUUACAUCAAUAACCGUGAGAAAAUAAAGCCAAUACCUGCCAAUCAACUGUUUGUUGGUCUAUACCAAGAUGACAUUCUUUCUGAGUUAAACAGUGCCAGGGUCUAAACAGAAAGCUAGGAGAAAGGCAGUAAAGAGCAGUGUAUCCCCUCUUAGUUUUAUCAAAGACUGUUUCUGCAGGUCACCUAAGAACUGAAAUCCAUCCUGGUCCUGCAUGAAUGCUUUUAGUGACUCAUGAACAUGUUCACUAAAAGAAAUGAAUGAGGGGACAGGCAUUCUGGUACAGGGAGUUAAGUUCCCGCCUACAGCACCAGCAUCCCAUAUGGGCAUGGGUUCAAGCCCCAGCUGCUCUACUUCCCUUCCUUUUCUCUGUUAAUGUGUCUGGAAAAGCAUCAGAGGAUGGCUCAAGUGCUUGGGCCCCUGCACUCACGUGGGAGACCGGGAAGAAGCUCCUGGCUUCUUCUACUCCUCCAGCCAUUUGGGGAGUAAACCAGCAGAUGGAAGAUCUCUUUCUCAGCCCCUGCACCCACAUGGGAUACAUGGAAGAAGCUCCUGGUUCUUGACUUUGGUCUGACCUAGCCCUGGUCAUUACAUCCAUUUGGGGGAUGAACCAGUAGAUGGAAGACUUCUUUGUCUCUGCCUCUGCCUUUUGAAUAAAUAAUAAAAUAAAGGUUUCUUUAAAAAAAAAAGAAAAAAGAAAUGAACAAAAUCAAAUUGCCACUAUUAUUGAUCAUUUCUACCACGUGGCUUUAGACUGAAAGUGAUUUUCAAGGGUUCCAAAAGCUAUUUCUAAGUUUUUCCCUUAAUGUGAUGUGUAGCAUUUAGACACAAGUCAAUCUAGCCACAUCUUAUCUGUUCCACCAGACCACUGGAAAUGAUUGUUAAUAACUAAAGGAACUACAUUUGAAAGACUGCCUUCUAUAUAAUUUUAUGUUUAUAUUAAAAUAAAUAAAAAUCAAAAUACCUAGAUCAUUAACAAAAGCAAAAAGAAAAAAACCUUCAUAAAAGUCCCCAACUCUGACUUUGACUUAAUGCAUGGAUCAAUGUGAAACCUGGAAAUGUGGUUAAGAAAUGAAAUCACUCAUCAUUUUCCUAGUUUGUCAAUGAAUGUGCACAACUUAGAAUUUUUAAAGGAAUAUUAAUUACAAUAUUAGUCACAAUGACAUUCUAUUUUGGAAUUUUAUGAAACUAUUAAAAGAUAUAAAUGAGUUUUAUUUUAUCUAAGUCCCUUUUGGAAGGACUUUGAGAAAUUUAAUCAGUAAACGUUACUGGUCUAUUUUAAACACUUGAGCAACAAGGGGAUCCCAAUCUUUACAUUUCCAAAUACCCUUUUGUUUAAAAAAAGAUUUAUUUAUUUGAAAAUCAGAGUUACAGAGAGAGAGGACAGAGGCUAAGAGGAGGGGGUUCUUCUAUCCACUGGUUCACUCCCCAACUGCUGCAAUGGCUGGAGCUGUGCCGAUCUAUAGCCAGGAGGCAGUAGCUUCUUCCGGGUCUCUCACGCAGGGGCCCAAGGACUUGCGCCAUCUUCUACUGCUUUCCCAGGCCGUAACAGAGAGCUGGAUCAGAAGUGGAGCAGCCGGGACUAGAACCGGCACCCAUAAGGUAUGCCGGCGCUUCAGGCCAGGGCGUUAACCCACUGUGCCACAGUGCUGGCCCCCCAAAUAUGCUUUUUAUAUAAAGAUUGCUCAUGGACUGUAGCAUCUGCUUCCUAAUUCUUGCAUGUGACAAAUAUUUAUUGAUAGAACUAUUAUACAUUGAAUAUAAUACAAGGAACUUCCCAUGUACGAAUAUGCAAAAUAAAUUUUCCAUUUUUCAAGGGAACUUGUACAUUGAGAAAAAUAUAAAAAGUACUACUAUAGAAAUAAAUUGCUUAGGAGACUACCUAAGCUAGAGAGAGGGAUUUUGUAUUACAAUGCUAUUUAUUCUCUUACCAGUAUAUUUAAAACUCCAACAAAAACCUUAGAAGUUUCCUAUGAAAGAUGGCAAUGUGAAUGUGACACCUAUGAACUAUUCCACAGUAUGUAAAAGGCCUGAAGGGAUCUACAGUAACAACUAUUUUCUUUUAUAUAAAUUCAUCAUAUGUUUCCCACAUUUUGACAUUCCUAUAAAAUCUUUUUAAAUGUAACACAUUUUAUUUUGGGGAACUGUCUCUCCGAGACAAAAUUCUUACGUGUUCCCUCCUCUAUUUCUUCCCUGUUUUUCCCCUAAAUCAGUCUAGAAGAGGCUUUUUUUUUUCUUUUGCUGGUAAAUAUGAUUUAUCUGCUUUGGGAGGAAAAAAAAGAAACACUGAAAAAUCUGUGGUACAUUUUCUGCUCCAGUAAAUAGGUCACACUUUGUCAAAUUCUGAAUAUAUUAAGUCUUUGUAGAAUUCUGUUUUUCUCAAAUACUAGGUUGGUAUACUGGAUAUCAAUGGGUAAUUUAUUUUGUUAUAAGUAAACUGUUACUCAGGGUUUUUUUUCUUCUUUUUUUAAACUUCAAAUCACAAAGGCUUCAAAAAAGGAAUCAGAGAUUAGGAUGCUUAAGGAGAACAUUGGAUUUCAUUUAUAUUUGUGCAAUUGUACACUACCCUUCAGAACAAAUUUAACUCUUUUGGGUGGAUGGAAGGUCAGAUGUUCUUCGAAGAAAGUGAGAGAUGUAACUUGAGAAUCCCAAACCAAGACUAAAACGAUUUCCUUCCAAAGCAAUCUUACCUCUCACUAAGAAGUCUAAAAGGCUACAAAACCAAAAAGGAUAAAUGCAAAGAGUACUUUCCUCCGAAGAUAAUCCUGUUCACUAUGGAGGAUGGAAUUUCCAGUGCUUAGAGGUGGAGCAUUCACCGGAAAGUGAUAGUUUUCAGAACUGUAUUUCAGAACCUAUAUUUUUGUCUACCUAUAAAAAGUGUUCACUGGCUCGCUCUCAACAUCAAAUGGCCUUCACUUACCAGACUGUAUCAGACAUCUGCAAAAUCUAAAAUUAAACAAGUGUUUAAGAUAUGUACACAUCUAUAUUUCUCUCUCCUAGUCUGAUUUCUUAUCAACUCAAUAUUAUGUAUACUAAUUCAAGAGGCAAGAAUAAGAAAAAACUCAUUGAAUUGUCCAUUUACCAUGUUAUUUUAUAGACUGUGAUAUCAGUAUAUAAUUUUGCUAUCUCUUUAAAUUGAUGAGUUAAUUAAAAAAUUAUGACAGAAAUUUAAAAUGUGUAUUGACUCACAAGCCAGCAAAUCAUUGAAAAUUCUAUUUGAAUGAAACCACUAACACUGGUGUAAGAAUAUAGAACUACAAGAUUAUAUUUGACAAAGCAAGAUCUGUAGAAAUGUAUUUCCAUUGACAGUAAGUAAAAGUAAUGUGGACUCUUACAAGGAAAUAUGAAGUUUAUCAGAUAAAGCUUUAGAGAGAAGUAAAUUUUUGCUAUUCACUUCAUCUUUAUUUUCAGACACAUUCAUCUUUAUUCACAGAUCUGAUGCUCUUGCACCUUAAAAUUCAACAUUAUAAUUUCAGUUUUUCUGUAUUAUUAUUUAUCAUUUAGGUCUGGAACACACAAACCUCUUUAAAACAAAUGUAGACAUUGUGUCCCAGAACCCAUUUGCCCAAAUAAUUAAUAAAGUGCCUUCAGUCACUUCCAGGAUUUGAUCUUUCAAAAAAAGGUUAUGUUUUCUUACUUAAAGGCCAUUGCUACCCAAGGCAUCUCUAUUAAAUGAAUGCCCAAAUUGUGUCUCUUUCUUGUUUAGUAAGAGAGGAUUCUUGUUUUUCUUUUCUUUGCCACAAGACGAGAAACUUAAGAUGCAAUGCUUAGUCUUAAAAUAUAUAUAGAUAAUACAGAAAAUAAGCCAACAUAAGGAUUGUAAAAAUUUCCAAAAUUAUAUGUUGCUCAGAUAAUGUUUGGAAACAGUGAUAGUCACUUCAUCAUGCUUACCAGUCCAUUUUUACUUGGUUCUGGAGUGAGAGGUGUGAGUCUGCAUGAUCUUUGGAGAGCCAAGCAACCAGAAUUUGAAUAAUAAAAAAUACGUAAAAAACCAUACAUGCCCUAAGAACAGCAAAUAACUAUCAGUUUCUGUGUAAUAGUGGCUUCAAGGGGGCCAGCACCAUGGCUUAGUGGAUAAAGCCAUCGCCUGCAGUGCCAGCCUACCAUAUGGGUGCUGGUUCAUGUCCUAGCCGCUCUACUUCCAAUCCAGCUCCCUGCUAAUGUGCCUGGGAGAGCAGUAGAUGGCCUAAAUGCUUGGGCCCCUGCACCCAUGUGGGAGACAUGGAGUAAGCUCCUGGCUCCAGACUUCAGACGUGCCCAGCUCUAAUUGUUGUGGCCAUUUGGGGAAUGAAUUAGCAGAUGGAAGAUCUCUCUUUCUCUCUGCCUCUUCCUCUCUCUCCUCUUCUGUAACUCUGCCUCUCAAAUAAAAUAAAUAAAUCUUUAAAAAACACUAUGCUGUGGUACCAAGCAGUACAAUAUGAACAAUCCUAUCCCCAAAAUGUCAAAGACAAUUAAAUCAUUGGGUUGAUAAGAAUACCUUCAGAAUGAACAGCUAAGGUAUUUUCCUUGUCUUAAUUUUUAGUGAUCUAACUUGGCUGGUUGUUCUGAUUAGACAAAAUAAAAGGACAUCCAUAACAAAACAUAAGGUUAUACACCUUUUAUAUAUAUUAGCUGUUGAGAUCACAAAUAAUUAUAUUACACUUGCCUAUUUUCAAAAGUUCAUAGCAUAGUUUUCAGAAGGAUUGAAAACAAUAAAAUAAGUAAAACUGUAGGUACUUUGAGAGUUAAAGGGGCGCCAGCACUGUGGAGUAGUGGGUUAAACUGCUGUCUGUGGUGCCAGCAUCCCAUAUGUGCGCAGGGUUCAAGUCCCAGCUGCUCUGUUUCUGACCCCACUCCUCCCUAAUGGCCUGGGAAUGCAGCGGAAGAUGGCCUGAGUCCUUGGGCCCCUGCACUCACUUGGGAGACUUGGAAGAAGUUCCUGGCUCCUGACUUUGGCCUGACCCAACCCUGGCCUUUGCAGCUAUUUGGGGAGUGAACCAGUGAGUGGAAGAUCUCUUUCUCUCCAUCUCUCACCUCUCUCUCGAACUCUGACUUUGAAGUAAAUAAAUAAAUCUUUAAAAAUAGAGUCAAUGGAAAAUGCAUAGAAAACAAAAAAUAAGCCUAUGGUACAUACUAUAAAAACGCAGAGGUGAAGGCAAUUCCUGAGGAAUGAGGAAGUUCAAAAAGACUCUCAGAAGAGAUAAAGUUUACACAAGUGCACAAAGAAACCGUAUUUUAGACAUGCACAUUUUUUCCAUGGAAUGGAGACUGAUCCAUAUUGUUUGGCAUUUUAAAAAAGGAAUAAGCAAUUUUGUUUACAGCAAAAGAUUCACUUAUGGAAGCAAGAGAAAACAAGGUUAGAGAGAUGAGUAGGGGCCAAUGUUGGGAGAGCAGUAGAGGAUGGGGAGGUUCUUGGGGCUAUGAAGUAUGAAAAGGGUGACAUUUAUUCAAGAAAUAAAUUAGCAUCUGCUACUUAAGAGAUUUUAUAUGGGGACAAAACAGGCAUCUCUGGAAAAGAUAUUAAAAGAUAUUUAAAACAGAGGGGAGAGCAAGAAAGAUAAAUCUGAGACAUACAGAAUAAAUUUCAAUGAAGAUAGAACAGUUUACAUAGUGUUGAAACAUACCAACAAAAAAGAGUUACCAUAUGUGAAAGCAGACGGGAAUUGAAGGGCGCUCAUAUGAGAGGUUUAUGAAGGAAGCAGCAGCUGAACUGGGUGGCUGAUAAUGUAAGAAAGCAGAAAGCUCAGCAGACAAGAUGACUCUAGGAAAGGAUUAUGCUUUUGGUUUUAAAAGAUGUGCAAUGCAAACUUUAUGCCAACAACUCAAGUUAGGGUUCAAACAUCAAGGUUAAAUGUAGGUUAAGGGUACAACCCCACAACACUUCCCUUGCUUCAGAGCCACAGAGUCUAGGGUUUCCAGGAUACCCACACUAUAAAGAGAUACUCAGGCCAGCGCCACGGCUCACUAGGCUAAUUCUCCACCUGCGGCGCCGGCACACCGGGUUCUAGUCCCAGUCGGGGCGCCGGAUUCUGUCCCAGUUGCUCCUCUUCCUGGCCAGCUCUCUGCUGUGGCCCGGGAGUGCAGUAGAGGAUGGCCCAAGUGCUUGGGCCCUGCACCCGCAUGGGAGACCAGGAGGAAGCACCUGGCUCCUGGCUUCGGAUCAGCGCGGUGCGCCAGCCACAGCGCGUGGCUGCAGCAGCCAUUGAGGGGUGAACCAACGGAAAAAGGAAGACCUUUCUCUCUGUCUCUUUCUCUCACUGUUCACCAAGAUCUGGAUUUCUUCCAAAUAUGAAACUUCCAUGUCCCUAUGACAUAUCACUCUCUUAGCAUACUGAAGUAUCUUACAAACCAAAAAACUAAAUUGACCAUCAUUGUUGAGAGUUUUUAUUGAGGUUUUCAUUACAAUGAUAUGGGUCACAAAGUUGCGCUCCAUCUUCAGCCCUGGGGCCAUUGUGGUGGAGCAGCAAGUUAAGCUGCCACUUGGGACAAUGGCAUCCCAUACCAGAGUGCUGGAUCAAGUCCUGGCUACCCACUUCCAAUCCAAUAUUCUGCUAAUAUACCCAAGAAGGCAGAAGAUGGCCCACGUGCUUGCACCCCCGCCAGCCACAUGGGAGACCAGGAUGGAAAUCCUGAGGGCUGGCUUUGGUCUGGCAGAGGCAACUGUUGCAGCCACUGGGGAGUGAACCAGCAGAUGGAGGACUGAUUGAUUCUCAUUCAUGCAUAUUCAUUCAUUCAUUCAUUCUCUUUCAAAUAGAUAAAAUCAUUUUUAAAAAAGAAUCUCCAACCUCUUACUCCUUUCUGCUACCCAUAGUCAGCUGAUAUGUUCGAUCAAGGUUUCUGGCAUGGUCACUCCCAGUCCUUAUUCACCUCCUUGGCAUAAACAAUCAUCUUGUUGUCAUAAACGCUGGUGUGACCUACUGGAACAACUCUAAGUAACAGUGAUUUCUAUAGCAUGGACAAUGUAAGGGUUCAGAAAUUACCUCCCAAGUACCAGAGACAAAGACCAGACAGAUUGAUAAUUAUAUAACAGAUAAAUGUGGGGUAAUUCUAGGUGUUUCUGCUGGAAACCCAAGGAAAUGACUGAAACUCUAAAACAGGCUGAAGAGAGAGAAGUGACUAGAGAUGUGGCUUCUGUCACCAAGUGAAAGGUCCAGUAUAGUUCAGCAAAUGCUCCAGUUGUCUGAUGGAGGGAUAUGCACAGGACAAGCUACACAAAUAUACACAGCAUCUUUUUCUAAAGAAAUCAACUCUCAGCUUCACAUAAACAUUAGCUUGAAUAGAAGCAACUUUUCACCUCUUCUGUCUUAACCAGAUGUCUAAAAUACAUAUCAUUUAAAGAUGAUGGGCCUGCAUCACAGCUCACUAGGCUAAUCCUCCGCCUUGAGGCGCUGGCACACCGGGUUCUAGUCCCCGGUCAGGGUUCCGGAUUCUGUCCUGGUUGCCCCUCUUCCAGGCCAGCUCUCUGCUGUGGCCCGGGAGUGCAGUGGAGGAUGGCCCAAGUGCUUGGGCCCUGCACCCCAUGGGAGACCAGGAUAAGUACCUGGCUCCUGCCAUCAGAUCAGCGCGGUGCGCCAGCCGCAGCGUGUCGGCCGCGGCGGCCAUUGGAGGGUGAACCAACGGCAAAGGAAGACCUUUCUCUCCGUCUCUCUCACUGUCCACUCUGCCUGUCAAAAAAAAAAAAAUGAUGAUGAAACAACCGCUAAACAAAGUAUGAUCUAAAAAUUAUGUAUUGGGAUUGCAUCAAAUUGAGAAGUUUCUGUACUGCAAAAGAAACAGUCAGGAGAGUGAAGAGACAACCGACAGAAUGGGAAAAAAUAUUUGCAAACUAUGCAACAGAUAAAGGGUUAAUAACCAGAAUCUACAAAGAGAUCAAGAAACUCCACAAAAACAAAACCAACAACCCACUUAAGAGAUGGGCCAAGGACCUCAAUAGACAUUUUUCAAAAGAGGAAAUCCAAAUGGCCAACAGGCACAUGAAAAAAUGUUCAAGGUCAUUAGCAAUCAGGGAAAUGCAAAUCAAAACCACAAUGAGGUUUCACCUCACCCCGGUUAGAAUGGCUCACAUGCAGAAAUCUACCAACAACAGAUGCUGGCGAGGAUGUGGGGAAAAAGGGACACUAACCCACUGUUGGUGGGAAUGCAAACUGGUCAAGCCACUAUGGAAGUCAGUCUGGAGAUUCCUCAGAAACCUGAAGAUAACCCUACCGUUCGACCCAGCCAUCCCACUCCUUGGAAUUUACCCAAAGGAAUUUAAAUUGGCAAAUAAAAAAGAGGUCUGCACCCUAAUGUUUAUUGCAGCUCAAUUCACAAUAGCUAAGACCUGGAACCAACCUAAAUGCCCAUCAACGAUAGACUGGAUAAAGAAAUUAUGGGAUAUGUACUCUUUAGAAUACUAUACCGCAGUAAGAAACAACGAA